ACCGUUGGGGACCGUCGUUGAUCCAAGAACAAAUGGACAUCCUCGCUGAUGAAUCCAACCCCAAAAUCCUUGUUAACACCUUCGAUGCUUUGGAACAAGAAGCAUUAAACGCCAUUGAAAAUUUCAACAUGAUCGGCAUCGGACCUUUAAUCCCAUCUUCUUUCUUGAACUCAAGUGACUCCUUGGAUAAUUCCUUGAGAACCGAUCUUUUUCAACCCGAUUCAAAAGAUUACCUCCAAUGGUUAGACUCCAAACCAAAAUCGGCUGUCGUUUACGUUUCCUUCGGGAGCAUUACGGUGUUAACGAAGCAACAAGUGGAGGAAAUCGCUCGAGCUUUAAUAUCCAGCCGGCGACCUUUUUUAUGGGUGGUGAGGAACCGGAAAGAUGGAGGCGAAGAAGAGAAAGAAGAAGAUAAACUGACUUGCAGGGAAGAAUUGGAACAGGUUGGGAUGGUGGUUCCAUGGUGUUCGCAAGUGGAAGUAUUGUCUCAUCCGUCGUUGGGUUGCUUCGUGACGCAUUGUGGGUGGAACUCGACGUUGGAGAGCAUGGUGGCCGGUGUACCGGUGGUGGCUUUCCCUCAAUGGACGGAUCAAGGGACUAAUGCGAAGCUGAUUGAAGAUGUGUGGGGGAAUGGAGUGAGAGUGAGUGCUAAUGAAGAAGGGAUGCUGGAACGUGAUGAGAUCGUUAGGUGCUUGGAUUUGGUGAUGGGGGAUGAUGAGAAAGGGAUGGAAGUGAAGAAAAAUGUAGAGAAAUGGAAAGGGUUAGCCAGGGAAGCCUCCAUGGAAGGCGGCUCCAUGGAUAUGAAGCUUAAAGCUUUUGUGGAUGAUGUUGCUCAAGGUGGUUGUAACUAAAUUUAUCAUUUUCAAAUAAAUUUACUGUUAUAAUAGCAGCUAUAAAGAUUGUAACUUCUUUAAUUUCUAAGUUUAUUUCUUUUUCCUUUCCAUCAUCUUUUAAAAAAUAUAUGUAAGAUUGAAAUGCCCAAACAAAAACUCCUGUUUUAAGGACCCAAGAAGAGCUGGUCUGUUUAGGCUGUGUUAUUUAUUACUAAGAUGAGUUUUUGCAUGUAAAAGUAUUUUUUUCUCAAAAAUAAUAAAGAUUAGACAUUAUUCCAGAAAAAUUUUUAACUUAAAAAAAGUACCUUUUGGCUGAUGGAUAAAUUAAAAAUUUUAACUUUUCUACCUGCUUUUAGCUUCUAUUUAUAUUUUUAACCUUUUUUUUCUCCCAAAACUUUUAGUAUUUAUAUUUGAUAUACAAAUAUUAUUCCUUUUUAAAUCUUUAAUCUAAAUAUAUGUAAUAUUUUAAUUUGUUAGGUUUAUAUUUUCUAUGUUAUCUUAAUAUCUAAUAAGAGUUAUAUAUUAAAAUACAUUUUAAAAUAAAAUAAUACAAAUGUGUUAAAAGCAUUAAUUAAAAAUAAAAAAUAAUUUUUAAAAUAAUACAAUUGUGUCAAUAUCUAAUUACAAAUAUUUAAUUAUUAUAUUUAAAUAUUUAAAUAUAGUUUAUAUAUUCUAAUUAAAUUUAAUAAAUAAUUAAUAUUAAUUACUUAGAAAAAUUUAAAAUUAAUAUUAUAUAUUAAAAUAUUAACAAUAAGUUAUAAUAAUUUAUUUUUAUAAUUUUGCUAAAAUAUCAUAAUAUUAACUAAUUUGAACAUUAUUUAAAUACAUAUUUGUUACUUUAUAAUAUCAUGUCUAAAAUGGACAUUUUAUUUCUCAAAAGCACUUUUUGACAGCAAUAUCAAACACUCAAAUUUUAAAAAAGUAUUUUUCAAAAGUACUUUUCCACAACACUUUUCAAAAGCAAUGAAGAACUGGCCCUUAGUUUUUGAGCCCCAUCUAUCUAUCUCAAUCUCAAUCAAUGCUUUCCUUUCUUGCCUCAAGCACUCACUCGUUUCAUGUCCUAUCCUCGUCUUCCCUUUCUUAACUUUAUGAUCUCAAAAAAAAAAACCCAAAGUUUGAAUUUCGUCUAUGAACUUCCUAAGCAGAAUCAGGAUAUCUGAUUAAACAUGGAUGCUUCCAUUAUCAUAUGGAUUAAGGGUGCCAGUCGGUCUUAUUAUGCCCCUAAUCCAACUUUCACCAUUCGAUAUAUGAUUAUAACCUAUACAACAACAGUCAAAUGUGUUGUUGUCGUACCUCUGUCCCUUCAAAAUUAUCUUUAUUUGCUAUUCAUGUCUUCAUUUGAAUUGAUUUGUUUAUGGUUAUACAUUGCCGAAUUUGAUUUGUAUAUGGAUAUACAUUGCUGAAUUAAUUUAUAUAUGGUUAUACAUUACCAAAUUUGAUUUGUAUAUAUAUACAUUGACAAAUUUGAUUCGUAUAUGGAUAUAUAUCACCGAAUUGAUUUGAGCUUUGGAUUACUAGUUUUGUGCAUGAAUUGAUUUAAUUACGAAGUCGAAAGCUCCGAAUGAACCUUAGUAAAUGUAUUGGAUAUUGAUGUCAUGAUAUUAGGACUUUCGAGGUGUGAUUUCGCGUAAGACCAUGUCUGGGAUAUUGGCAUCGAAGUAAGAAAACGUGUAAGACCAUGUCUGGGACAGUGGAAUUGAUAUGUGUUAACAUAUAAGACCAUAUCCGAGAUAUGGUAUUGUACGAGUUUUAUAUGAUUUUCGUAUGAUCUUAACUAUUUCGAAUGUGAAUUUGAGUUGAAUGAUUCAGGUAUGUGUGAAGUUAUAUGUUCAUGCAAUAUUAAGGUAAGUUUAGCACUUAAUGUGAUAAUUUGCAAUUAUAUGAGUUAGUUAAAUGUUUAUGUGUUUGAGAUUUAUUUGAAUUCGACCUAGUUGAAUUGAAUUAUAAAUAUCAUUGAGAUGAUUGAGUAAGAGGUUAGUACGAGAUGAUACAGGUACGUACAGAACCUAUUCGAGUAUUUAAUAGAGAAAUAUAAUGAAAUGGUAUUUGAUCAUGUUUUAAGACAUUGAGAAAGGUUUGUUGUAAUUGUAUAUAUGGUGAUGUUAUGUACAAUUAGUUGAAUUGUAUGUAUUUGAUGUAUUGAAUUAUUCAUUUACGAACUUACUAAGCUAUGAAGCUUACUUCGUGUUAUUUUCUUAUGUUUUAUAGAGAAUCAAGGCUAGCUCGGAUUCAAAAGUCGUCGGGAACAUCAUCGCGCUAUCGAACAUCUAAGUUGGUACUUUUGAAUUGUAUAUAUAUGAUAUAUGAGAUGUACAGGCUAGUGUUAUUUUGGUAUGUUUUGAGUUAUGAUAUUAGCCAUGAGAUUUGGCUUUUAAAGGUUGGUGUGUAUUUGACCAUAUGAAUUGGUUGUUUAAGUGUUGAGAAAAUGCAUAUUUGAACCUAAGAUGAAUUUAUGGUUAUAGUAAGUUAAAUUGACAUACUUUUGAGUUAAUUUGGUACUAAAAUUGAAAUGAAAUGAACGAAGUUUAUUAGUUAACUUUUAUAUAGUAUUAUGGAUGUUGUUGAUCAAUUUGAUAAGUAAAUGUUUUAGGCAUGAUUUAAAUAUGUUUAAAUGUGAAAAUGUGUUGGUUUCCAUAUUGAUUGUAAAUUGGUUGCAGUUUAAAUUACAGGGAAUGUUAGAUAUUUAUAAAGAAGUUAUAUUGAGUUCGCAAAAAAAAAAAAUCUCCGAGUUUCCGAAUUAGUCCCGAGUCAUUCUUAACUCGUAUUAUGGACCUUGAGGGUUUAUCUAAGGGACUUUAAGAUUAUUUUAUAUUAUAUUUGAUAAUUAUUUGUAUAUUAAUUGUAAAUUGUCCGAUAGGUCUAGUAAUGCUCCAUAAUCCUAUUCCGGUGACGAACAUGGGUUAGGGGUGUUAUAAUAAGCAAUUUUUGGUGAAAGUUAUAGUGAAAGUUAUCAUAUUGAUGGUUAGGUGUGAUUGACCACAGUGUUAUAAUUAUUAUAGUACAAAGAAAAGUUAACUGAGUUGAUUAGGGUGUGAGGUGAAUAAAUUAAUUCUUCGAAAUUUUAAUAGCAAGAACGGAAGAAUAUUUAAAAAAAAUUAAUUUGUUAUUUGAUUUAACAUAUAGAGACUAAUUUAUCUAUUUUUUAGUAUAGCUAGAGAAUAAAAUGCAAUCUGACAUCUAAUACAAUGACCUCAAUAAUACUUUUACCUACAGUUGAUAAAUUUAUAACUAUAAUCGUAAAUUUUCAGUUUUGGUUCUUCUAUUAUGGUUACGUUUAAGAUUUAAUUUUUUAAAGUAAGAUUUAAUCUUUAUAAUUAAAUUUGGCAUAAUUUGAUUGUCUAUUUUUACAAUGAUAUUAGGUAGUCGAAAUAAUUAACAUAUUUUUUAACUAUUCUAAUUAAUUUUUUAAUUUUUUUAAAAAAUACUAUUCUAUAAAAAAAUUACUUUUACAUAAUGAAUCGGAAUAAAUGUUAUUAAAAAUAUUCACAUCAACUACUAAAAAUAUUAAGGGUGCUAAUUAUUUGGGUUAACUAAUGAUACGACCUUUUUUUCCCGACAUUAUAAGAUAAUGAUAAAAUUAUAGUUUUUAUCUCUCUAUUCUGCUCACAUUUGAGAUUUAAUAUUUAUAUUUUAAUUUGACAUCGUUUGAUCCUCUACUUUUAUAAUGACAUUAGUUAUCCUAAAUAAUUAAUAUUUUAACUAUAUCGAUUAAAAUGAUUACAUGAAUUUCUCUUAAAAACACAUUUCAAUACAAUAUAUAUAUUUCUACAAGAAGUUCGAAUGGGUAUUUUUAAGGAAAAAAUUGAUCUCAACAUUUUGACCACAAUAAUUAAAGGUAUCAACUAUUUCGACUAAUUAAUAGUAUUAUGUAGAGGGACCAAAUUAUAUAAAAUUAAAGAAUAGAUAUUAAAUUCUAUAUUUAAACAUAGUAGAGACCAUAACCAUAAUUUAAUCUAAAACAAAUUAUCUCUAACAUAAUAUAAAUAUAUUAACUAUAAAAAAUUUAAAAUUUAUUCGACCCCUAAAAAAUUAUUCUAACUUGCCUGCUACAAUUUUUAAACCUUACAUAAGAUUAUUUUCUUAAAUAGUGCAUAUUAUAAUAUAUAUGUACGACGUAUAUAUAUUUGGUUUUGCAAUUGUUUUUAACUUGGGCUUUUAAUUUGUCACAAAUAAAAUUUUUGACUUUAAUAAUAAUAAUAAUAAUAAUGGAUAAUUUAAAAUAAAAUAAAUUUAUAUUUUAAUUUAUUGUAUUGGAAUUAAUGAGAGAAAAUUUAUGGUCCUUCUAGCGCAAGAAUGUGUGUGACAACGUGUUGAAUGUUUAUCCACACAAAAUCCAAAAGGAUUCAAGGAUCUUCAACUUCGUCAGUGCCUCUCAUCACUUAUAAAAACACUUCGAUUUCCUUUCUUAGUUACUCCAACUCCGACGUUCGUAGAAAAAGACCAUGUGAACUACCUACGUGCCGCCGUCACCAUCAUGUCACAGCCUCAUUUCCUCCUAGUGACCAUCCCUGCACAAGGCCACAUAAACCCAACCUUACAAUUUGCCAAGCAUCUUAUACGUAUUGGCGUACGUGUAACUUUCAUCACCUGCAUCUCCGCUCGCCACCGCAUGACCAAAGUCCCCACUGCUCAAGGCCUAACGUUUCUACCCUUUUCCGAUGGCUACGAUGACGGUUUUCAACCCGGCGAUGACGUGGACCGUUACCUAUCUGAAUUGAGGCGACGAGGCAAAGAAGCCAUCUCCGAGUUUAUAACAAGCGGUGAAAACGAAGGCAAACCCGUCACUUGCAUUGUCUACACCCUGUUCAUCCAUUGGGCCACGGAGGUGGCGCGUAAACAUCACAUCCCGACAGCUUUACUUUGGAUUCAACCCGCCACCGUUUUUGACAUCUAUUAUUUUUACUUCAACGGAUACGAAUCCACCAUUAAAGCUCAAGCUGAUGAAACAAACCCCAAGCGUUCAAUAAAAUUACCAGGUCUGCCGCUACUCGCCACUAGCGACCUUCCGUCGUUCGUCACCGCUUCAAACGUUUACCGUUGGGGACCGUCGUUGAUCCAAGAACAAAUGGACGUCCUCGCCGAUGAAUACAACCCUAAAAUCCUUGUUAACACAUUCGAUGCUUUGGAACACGAAACAUUAAACGCCAUUGAAAAUUUCAACAUGGUCGGCAUCGGACCUUUAAUCCCAUCUUCUUUCUUGAACUCAAAUGACUCCUUGGAUAAUUCCUUGAGAACCGAUCUUUUUCAAUCCGAUUCAAAAGAUUACUUCCAAUGGUUAGACUCCAAACCAAAAUCGGCUGUCGUUUACGUUUCCUUCGGGAGCAUUGCGGUGUUAACGAAGCAACAAGUGGAGGAAAUCGCUCGAGCUUUAAUAUCCAGCCGGCAACCGUUUUUAUGGGUGGUGAGGAACCGGAAAGAUGGAGGCGAAGAAGAAGAUAAACUGACUUGCAGGGAAGAAUUGGAACAGUUUGGGAGGGUGGUUCCAUGGUGUUCGCAAGUGGAAGUAUUGUCUCAUCCGUCGUUGGGUUGCUUCGUGACGCAUUGUGGGUGGAACUCGACGUUGGAGAGCAUGGUGGCCGGUGUACCGGUGGUGGCUUUCCCUCAAUGGACGGAUCAAUGGACUAAUGCGAAGCUGAUUGAAGAUGUGUGGGGGAAUGGGGUGAGAGUGAGUGCUAAUGAAGAAGGGAUGGUGGAAUGUGAUGAGAUCGUUAGGUGCUUGGAUUUGGUGAUGGGGGAUGAUGAGAAAGGGAUGGAAGUGAAGAAAAAUGUAGAGAAAUGGAAAGGGUUAGCCAGGGAAGCCUCCAUGGAAGGCGGCUCCAUGGAUAUGAAGCUUAAAGCUUUUGUGGAUGAUGUUGCUGAAGCUGGUUGCAAGUAAAUUUAUCAUUUUCAAAUAAAUUCACUGUUAUAAUAGCAGCUAUAAAUAUUGUAACUUCUUUAAUUUCUAAGUUUAUUUCUUUUUCCUUUCCAUCAUCUUUUGUAAAAAAAAAAAAAGUAAGAUUGAAAAGCCGAAACAAAAACUCCUCUUUUUAAGGACCCAAGAGGAGCUGGUCUGUUUAGUCUUUGAGCCCCACCUGUCAAUCUCAAUCUCAAUCAAUGCCACUCACUCGUUUCAUGUCCUAUCCUCGUCUUCCCUUCAUUAAUAUCACUCCACCUUCUAACUUAAUAACUGAUACAUGAUCUCAAAAAAAAAAAGAAAAAAAAAAAACCCAAAGUUUGAAUUCGGUCUAUGAGCUUCCUAAACAAAAUCAGGAUAUGUGAUUAAGCAUGGAUGCUUCCGUUAUCAUAUGGAUUAAGGGUGCCAGUCGGGCUUAUUACGCCCCUCAUCCAACUUUCACCAUUCGAUAUAUGAUUAUAACCUAACCAACAACAGUCAAAUGUGUUGUUGUCGUACCUCUAUCCCUUCAAAAAUCUCUUUACUGUUGCUACCCAUGUCUUCUUUGAUAUAUAUGCAUAUUUUUAACCUUACUGAGCUGUGGACUUCAUUUGAAGUGUAACCAAGUUUUUGCUUUUUUUUCUUUCUUCUUCUUGUGUUUCCUGAAUUUAUAAAUUUUUUUCGAUUGGCUUCUAUUUAUGUUUUUUCAAAGAUUAAUAAUUGAAUUUAAUUAAAAAAUAAUUAAAUUGGUAAAAUAUAUAAAUGUUGAGGACAAACUUCAGUAUUAUCCCUUUUAAUACCUUUCAUCGUACUGGAGCAGGUAUUAUCGUACCAUGAAACUUGAAUAAGCCACCACACAAGUUUAUGCGCAUGUGGUUUUUUCUGGUUGUAUUCUGCUACUAGUCCUUAUACUUUAUGAAAGUGAUGGAUUUAGUCCCAAUACUUCAAUUUAAUCACUUUUAGUCCUGCACUUUUCAAAAUGUUCAAUUUUAGUCCCUAUAUUUUCAGUCUUUUGAAAUUUUCGUCCUAAACCAAAUAAUAGUAGUUCAAUUUGUUUGUUUAAAUUCAAUUACUAGCAUGUAAUUGUAGAUUUAAUAUAUAUUAUCCAUUUUCUUUGCAAAGUCUGUGAAAAACAAAACGGAUUGUUGAGAACAAUCCAAACACUAUCAAACACAGUUUAAAAAAAAAAAAAACAGAACAGCCUAACAUAUACUACUAAGCAGACAAAAACACUUUAACAACAGAUUUCCCCGUUGUAUUCUGCUGCAGAAAAUAGCAGACCAUCCCAGCAGCAUCAUCCAUUCUGCUUCAGCAGCAAAUCACCAAGCAGCUUUAAAGAAGUUUUUCCUUGACAUGCCUGUCUUUGCUAAAGUUUCCGCCAUUCCACUCUUUUUUUGAUUAGUGAUUGCAAACUGGAUUUCGGCAAUAUGUCUACAUCCAUCUUCAAUUUCCGCAAACAACUUCCUUAGCGACCAUGGACGAAGAUUUCUAUAUUUCAACUAAUUCAAUACCGUAUUCAAAUCAAGCUCUAUAAUCAAAGGAAGUUGCACCUUAUGAAACAAAUUUGAAAACAUCUCUAUUGCUACUUUUAUAGCCAUCAGUACUACCAUUUCCAAACCCUCCACUGCACAGUUACCUGAAAAAGAGCUGAAACAACCCCUUUCUCGUCCCGCAACACCCCUCCGCAGCCCGCUCUUUCAUCCAAAGAAACCCCAGCCACAUUAAAUUUCAUCCAACCGCAAGGAGGUGGUUCCCUAUCCAUAACCCGCACAUUCCCCACCCUAUUUAACCAGACUGCUCUUCCUUGGCCACCCCCACCAAUCACUCUCUGUGAAAAUACAUUCCUCAUAGACCACUCUUGCCCAUACAAACGAUCUCAAUUUUGUUUGAUAAAUUAAGUCAAGUGUUGUAGCCUUACCUUCAAACACUUUCUCAUUACGAGAAAUCCAUCCUGACCAACAUGCUGCUGAUACUGCCAGUAACCAUAAACUUUUUUGAAUGCCAGACAAAGACACUCUCCAGCAAAAGGAAAAGAAUUCCUCAAAGUUUGCUACGUCCUUCCAUCUCAACCCCCACCAGCAAAAUAUAAGCGACCAGAAUCUUUUCACAAAGGAGCAUUCAAAAAACAAGUGAUUGGUAGAUUCCGCCACUCUCUCGCACCAUGGACACCCACUAUCCGAAGAGUUGAUAAUAAUUCCUCUACUAAUAAAAAAUUCUUUCGUUGGAACACGAUUAAUCGCCAUCAUCUAUAGGAAGCUACGCUUUCUUGGUGGGACUUUCAAUUUCCAGAUUCUAUCAAACUGAAAUUCUACCGUUCCCAUCCCAUCAUAAGAUAGGAGAGACACAUUCACGACAUUAGUUGCACGCCCAGCUACAAACGAACCUGGCUCGGAUACCAAAAAUGUAGGGAAAAAAUAGUCACAGAAGACUAUUGUCAAACAACGUGUAUGCAAGGAAAAUACUAAACUAUAGAAAAUUUAAAAAGAAAGAAAAGCUGAACUCAAAAUGACUGAAGUUGCUGUAUUAUUCACACACAAAAUGAAAUAAACGUAGGCCUAUAAAUAGCCUUUACACCAUAACAAACUAACGUAAAAAUGUGCAACACUAUUGCACGAUCAUAACAAAAAAUAGAGAAAUAAGGAAAUUAACAAACUAAGCAUAGCACAGCAAAUCUAAAUUUAGAAAAACCGACUUUGAAUCAUUCUCCAACAUCGAAAAUGGUGGAGGGCUGAAUCCAGAGUAAAGUUGACGGGAUGUGAUGUUUACGCGCCACCUCCGUAGCCCAAUGAAGGAGCAAAUAGUAGACAAUGCAAGUGAUGGGUUUACCUUCGUUUUCACUACUUGUUAUAAACUCAGAGAUGGCAUCUCUGCCUCGUCUCUUGAAUUCAGACAUGUAAUUGUCUGUGUCAUUGCCGGGUUUAAUUUCGUCGUCGUAGCUAUCCGAAAAAGGUAAAAACGAUAGGCCUUCAGCAGUGGGGGACUUUGGUCAUGCGACUGAUGACGGAGAUGCUGGUGAUGAAAGUUACACGUGCGUUGAUAGGUACAAGAUGCUUGGCGAAUUGUAAAGUCGGGUUUACGUGGCCUUGUGCAGGAUAGGUCACUACGAUGAAAUGAGGCUGUGACAUGAUGGUGACGGCGGCGAGUGUUGGCGCGUAAUUCGUGAAGGAAAUUAAUGGGUUUUUAUAGUGAAGAGAGGCAUUGAUAAAAGGUGAUGUUUGAGCUGACGAAUUUCAAAGAUUCCUAAACCUUGUUGGACUUAUCUGGUGUUUUUUCAAUGCUUAGGUUGCAGCUUGAUGCAUGAUGCUGUUAGAGAGAGUUUCAUACUACACGACUCUUUGGGGUUUGAAUUUAAUUCACCAAUUACAAUUUUAGUUAAACUAAACCCCAACACUAAACACGUAAGUUCAUAUUUGGUUAAACUACCUACCAAGUUAUCCAUCUAUGCCUAAACAUUUUUUUACUCACUCAAUUUUUUAAACUUUCAAAAUGGUCAUUCAAUUCAUUGGGUUCCAUUUUUUUAUCCAUUUCCAUUAAGCAUCGUUAAAUGCCUGGUAGGGUUAAUUUUUAAAAAUUAUGACUAAAUUGAUACAAUAUGUAAAAUUUGAGGAAAAAAUUUGUUAUUAUACUAAUAUUUAAAUAGUCACUUCAACUUUUUGUCAAACACUUAAUGGAAAUGGACCAAAAAAUAAAUCUGAUUAAUUAUGUGACCAUUUUGAAAGUUUUAAAAGUUGAGUGAAAAAAAAAACUUAAACAUAUUUAAUAGUAUUAAUGUGUCGAACAAUUAAAGUAUCCACUUGUCACAAUAUUAAACCCCACGUAUGAUUGUUUUCUUGAAUAUUGUGUAUAUUAUAUAUGAUAAAAGAUUGUAUAAAAUUAUCAUUCUACGUCAUCCCUAAGAAAAUGAUAAAUUAAAUUUUGUCUCUUACAAAAUUCAAAUUCAACUAAAAAACUAAUAUAGAAUCACAGUUUCAUAUAAACUUUUCUUUUAUAAUAUAUAGGUAUAAUAUAUAUAUUCCAUUUAGCAAUUGUUUUUAACUCUGGUCUUUUAAUUUGUCACAAACAAAAAUUUUGACUUCGAUAUUAAUACUAAAAUAAUAUUUGUCCUUGUAGCGGAAGAAUGUGUGUGACAACGUGAUAAAUAUUUUUCCAAACAAAAUCCAAAAGGAAUUAGGCAUCUUCAAAUUCGUCAGCCCAAACGUCACUGUUUUUCAGUGCCUCUCAUCACUUAUAAAAACACUUUGAUUUCCUUUCUUACUUACUCCAAAUCCGACGUUCGUACAAAAAGACCAGUAGAACUACCUACGUGCCGCCGUCACCACCAUGUCACAGCCUCAUUUCCUCCUAGUGACCUUCCCUGCACAAGGCCACAUAAACCCAACCUUACAAUUUGCCAAGCAUCUUAUACGUAUUGGCGUACGUGUAACUUUCAUCACCUGCAUCUCCGCUCGCCGCCGCAUGACCAAAGUCCCCACUGCUCAAGGCCUAACGUUUUUACCCUUUUCCGAUGGCUACGACGACGGUUUUCAACCCGGCGAUGACAUAGAACAUUACCUAUCUGAAUUGAGGAGACGAGGCAAAGAAGCCAUCUCCGAGUUUAUAACAAGCAGUGAAUACGAAGGCAAACCCGUCACUUGCAUUGUCUACACCCUGUUCAUCCAUUGGGCCUCGGAGGUGGCGCGUAAACAUCACAUCCCGACAGCUUUACUUUGGAUUCAACCCGCCACCGUUUUCGACAUCUAUUAUUUUUACUUCAACGGGUACGAAUCCACCAUUAAAGCUCCAGUUGAUGAAACAAACCCAAAGCGUUCAAUAAAAUUACCAGGUCUGCCGCUACUCGCCACCCGCGACCUUCCGUCGUUCGUCACCGCUUCAAACGUUUACCGUUGGGCACUGUCGUUGUUCCAAGAACAAAUGGAUAUCCUCGCUGAUGAAUCCAACCCCAAAAUCCUUGUUAACACCUUCGAUGCUUUGGAACAAGAAGCAUUAAAUGCCAUUGAAAAUUUCAACAUGGUCGGCAUCGGACCUUUAAUCCCAUCUUCUUUCUUGAACUCAAAUGACUCCUUGGAUAAUUCCUUGAGAACCGAUCUUUUUCAAUCCGAUUCAAAAGAUUACAUCCAAUGGUUAGACUCCAAACCAAAAUCGGCCGUCGUUUACGUUUCCUUCGGGAGCAUUGCGGUGUUAACCAAGCAACAAGUGGAGGAAAUCGCUCGAGCUUUAAUAGCCAGCCGGCGACCGUUUUUAUGGGUGGUGAGGAACUGGAAAGAUGGAGUCGAAGAAGAGAAAGAAGAAGAAAAACUGACUUGGAGGGAAGAAUUGGAACGGUUUGGGAUGGUGGUUCCAUGGUGUUCGCAAGUGGAAGUAUUGUCUCAUCCGUCGUUGGGUUGUUUCGUGACGCAUUGUGGGUGGAACUCGACGUUGGAGAGCAUGGUGGCCGGUGUACCGGUGGUGGCUUUCCCUCAAUGGACGGAUCAAGGGACUAAUGCGAAGCUGAUUGAAGAUGUGUGGGGGAAUGGGGUGAGAGUGAGUGCUAAUGAAGAAGGGAUGGUGGAACGUGAUGAGAUCGUUAGGUGCUUGGAUUUGGUGAUGGGGGAUGAUGAGAAAGGGAUGGAAGUGAAGAAAAAUGUAGAGAAAUGGGAAGGGUUAGCCAGGGAAGCCUCCAUGGAAGGCGGCUCCAUGGAUAUGAACCUUAAAGCUUUCGUGGAUGAUGUUGCUCAAGGUUGUUGGAAGUAAAUUUAUCAUUUUCAAAUCAAUUCACUGUUAUAAUAGCAGCUAUAAAUAUUGUGAUAGCAACAAUAUCAAUUCACUGUUGCAAAUAAAUUUUUAAUUUGUGUUUGUAUUAAAUGUAUGCUUUAAUUAAUUUUGGUGUAACGUUUAAGUUUUUUUAAAGAUUAAUAAUUAAAUUUGGGUAAAAUCAAAAAAUUUGGUUAACCGAUUGGAUUCGGUUAAUCGGUUGGUUAAUUAAAUUUUUUCGGUGAAGAGUCGAUUAAUUAUUUUCUCAUUUUCCGGUUAACGGCUAAUUCAGUUCGAAACCGGUCGGUUAACUGAAUUGUUUUGAUUUAAUCGAAAAAUUAAUAAAUAAAAUUAUAAUAUAUAAAUAGGCUCACUAUUCACCUAAGUCCAACCCAAACCCAAGUAUCCAACCUAACCCAAUCAAAUCAUAAAAAUUACAGAUAAUUUAUGUAUUAAUUUCAAGACUUAUGUAAUGUUUUUAAUUAUGUAGUGAUUCAAUUCGGUUAAUUCGGGUAAUUCGAGUAAUUCGGUUAAUUCGGGUAAUUUGGGUAAUUCGAUUAAUUUUUAACCAAAAAUAAAAAAUAUAUGAUUUUCGGUUAAUUUGGUUAACCGACUGAAUUAACCGAAAAGUUUUUGAUUCGGUUAGUUUUUAUUUUUUUAAAAUUCGAUUCAGUUAAUAGUUAAAAAUAUUGAAAGUUCAAUUAAUUCAAUUAAUAUUUUUUCGAGUCAGUGAACUGACUGAACACCCCUAGUAGCGGAGUAGGUAUUAUCAUACGAAUGAUAAGCCACCACACAAGUUUAUGCGGAUGUGGUUUUCUUGGUUUAAUUUUGCCACAAGUCCCUAUACUUUAUAAAAGUUAUGGAUUUAGUUCCGUUAUUUCAAUUUGAUCACUUUAGUCCUGCACUUUUCAAAAUGUUCAAUUUUAGUCCCUAUACUUUUAAACUUUUGAAAUUUUCAUCCUUAACCAAAAAAUAGUAGUUAAAUUUGUUUGUUUAAUUUCAAUUCCUAGAAAUGUACUAUACAUAUAAUUGUAGAUUUAAUAUAUAUUCUCCAACUGAAUCAUUUUAAGUCCCUAUUUUUUUCGAAUUCUAAAAUUUCCGUCUCAAUACAAAUGAUAGUCACCGAUCCAUUAACUAAAAUUUUAGUAAGUAAUAUGUGAAAAUAGCCAACUAAAAUGCUAGUACACACAUGAUGAUAUGUUUAUUGCAUCAAAUUUUAAAAAUAACAGAAUUUAAUGAAUUUAACAAUUAUUGUUUAGUGAUGACUUUUAAAAUUUAGAAAGUAUGAGCAUUAAAAGUGACCAAAUUAAUGUAUAAUUAAGAAUUAGAUCCACAACUUUUGUAAAGUAAGACUAAUAAUAAAAUUUAAUCUUGUUUUUUUCUUGAAAGAAAUUAAAAGUGACCAUUUAAGUAUUAUAUGUGCUAGGGAUGGGAGAUUAAUACGAAUCGUGGGAUGGAUUUUAAAUAGUUCGAAUUUUUUUUUUGUGUGUGUGGACAAUGAGUAAUUCUUUGCCCUAUAUAAAAGUAUCAUUUUAUCCAUUUAAUAUGUAUAACUAUUUAAAUGGUGAAAUACGAAAAUGCAUUAUAGAAAAGCCUUUAUGUUUAAUUUUUUUGAAACUGUUGUGGAAAACCUUAAAUGUGGUUAAUUGCCUUGCAAACCCUCCUUAUUUAUUAUUUUCUUUUUAUUCCCCUUCAACUCACUACAUUGUGUUUCAACAAGCUCUUAACCUAUUUUUGUAGUUAAAUAGGCCCUUAACUUAUGAUUUUUACUCAUAAAAUCUCUUUGUUUUAAUACUAAAGUAAAUAUGUUUUACUCAUAUUAAAGGGCUUUUUAGUAUUUUAGCCUAGACUGUAUGUUGUUGAACCUGGCACCUGCAUUGUAGAAAUUUUUUGAUUAUUUUCAAUGCUUAAGAACCAAUGAAAACAUAGAUGGAAGGCUAAUAUACUAAAAAGUGCUUAAACUAUUACACUUUGUUUAAGUAAGCUUUUGUACUAUUUUUGUCGUUAAAUAGGCCCUCAAACUAUGAUUUUUACCCAUGAAAGUCCUAAAUUUUAAUAUUAAAGUAAAACUAUUUAAAAAAUAUAUAAAUUAAUUCGCAUUUUAUGUUGAUGUGAAUUUGAUGAGAAGAGUUUAUUAAAUAAAAAAUUAAAAAUUAAAAAUUGUUGAGAGUGCUUAUAUGCAUGACAUGCUUAAUUACUAUUCUGAAAUUGCUGAUUACUUUUUUAGAUUUUAUGUUUAUGUUAAAGUGUAUAUAAUUUUUAUUGCAUCAACAAGAAAUUAAGAUAAGAGCUUGAAAUUCAAAAUAUAUUUACUUUAAUAUUAAAAUAAAAGGCUUUUAUGAGUAAAACUCAUAGGUUAAGAGUUUAUUUAACUACAAAAUUAAGUUAAGGGCUUGUUUAAACACAACCUAGUGAGUUGAAGGGGAAUAAAAAAUAAAAUAUAUAACGAGGGUUUACAAGGCAAUUAGCCACAUCUAAGCGGCACCCUUUCACUUCUUUUUCGUAGUCACUUAAAAUGGAAAAUUUGCAUUUUAAAUCCCUAAAUACUUUAAAUUAUUACAUUUCAGUCUGAUACAAAACAGUACAGUAACAAACAUGCCAUUUUGAUGUAUGUAUAUAUAUACUCGUUUUGCUAUUGUUUUUGACUUCGACUUUUAAUUGGUCACAAAAUUUUUGGAUAAUUUUUUUUAAAAUAAUUAUUUUAGUCCUUGCAGAGCAAGACAGCGGGAUGAAUGGUUUUCCACAAAAUCCAAAAGGAAUUAGGCAUCUUCAAAUUCGUCAGCGCAAACGUCACUGUUUUUCAGUGCCUCUCAUCACUUAUAAAAACACUUCGAUUUCCUUUCUUAGUUACUCCAAAUCCGACGUUCGUAAAAAAAGACCAGGUGAACUACCUACGAGCCGCCGUCACCACCAUGUCACAGCCUCAUUUCCUCCUAGUGACCUUCCCUGCACAAGGCCACAUAAACCCAACCUUACAAUUUGCCAAGCAUCUUAUACGUAUUGGCGUACGUGUAACUUUCGUCACCUGCAUCUCGGCUUGCCGCCGCAUGACCAAAGUCCCCACUGCUCAGGGCCUAACGUUUUUACCCUUUUCCGAUGGCUACGACGACGGUUUUCAACCCGGCGAUGACAUAGAACAUUACCUAUCUGAAUUGAGGCGACGAGGCAAAGAAGCCAUCUCCGAGUUUAUAACAAGCAGUGAAAACGACGGCAAAUCCGUCACUUGCAUUGUCAACACCCUGUUCAUCCAUUGGGCCUCGGAGGUGGCGCGUAAACAUCACAUCCCGACAGCUUUACUUUGGAUUCAACCCGCCACCGUUUUCGACAUCUAUUAUUUUUACUUCAACGGAUACGAAUCCACCAUUAAAGCUCCUGUUGAUGAAACAAACCCCAAGCGUUCAAUAAAAUUACCAGGCCUGCCGCUACUCGCCACUCGCGACCUUCCGUCGUUCGUCACCGCUUCAAACGUUUACCGUUGGGCACUGUCGUUGUUCCAAGAACAAAUGGAUGUCCUCGCUGAUGAAUCCAACCCCAAAAUCCUUGUUAACACAUUCGAUGCUUUGGAACACGAAGCAUUAAACGCCAUUGAAAAUUUCAACAUGGUAGGCAUCGGACCUUUAAUCCCAUCUUCUUUCUUGAACUCAAAUGACUCCUUGGAUAAUUCCUUGAGAACCGAUCUUUUUCAAUCCGAUUCAAAAGAUUACAUCCAAUGGUUAGACUCCAAACCAAAAUCGGCCGUCGUUUACGUUUCCUUCGGGAGCUAUGCUGUGUUAACGAAGCAACAAGUGGAGGAAAUCGCUCGAGCUUUAAUAUCCAGCCGGCGACCCUUUUUAUGGGUGGUGAGGAACCGGAAAAAUGGAGGCGAAGAAGAGAAAGAAGAAGAUAAACUGACUUGCAGGGAAGAAUUGGAACAGUUUGGGAUGGUGGUUCCAUGGUGUUCGCAAGUGGAAGUAUUGUUUCAUCCAUCGUUGGGUUGCUUCGUGACGCAUUGUGGGUGGAACUCGACGUUGGAGAGCAUGGCGGCCGGUGUACCGGUGGUGGCUUUCCCUCAAUGGACGGAUCAAAGGACUAAUGCGAAGCUGAUUGAAGAUGUGUGGGGGAAUGGGGUGAGAGUGAGUGCUAAUGAAGAAGGGAUGGUGGAACGUGAUGAGAUCGUUAGGUGCUUGGAUUUGGUGAUGGGGGAUGAUAAGAAAGGGAUGGAAGUGAAGAAAAAUGUAGAGAAAUGGAAACGGUUAGCCAGAGAAGCCGCCAUGGAAGGCGGCUCCUUGGAUAUGAAGCUUAAAGCUUUUGUGGAUGAUAUUGCUGAAGGAUAUCGUAAGUAAAAUUAUCACUUUCAAAUCAAUUCACUGUUUCAAUAGUAGUUAUUUAAACAGUUAUUAUCGUACCAUGAAACUUGAUUAGGUUUUGCCUUGUAGUAAACAUGCGAAGGACGACCCACCACACAAGUUUAUGCAGAUAUGGUUUUUUUUUUUUUUUUGUUUAAUUUUGCUACUAGUCUCUAUACUUUAUGAAAGUUAUGGAUUUAGUCUCAAUACUUUAAUUUGACCAUUUUUAGUCCUGCACUUUUCAAAAUGUUCAAUUUUAGUCCCUAUACUUUUAGUCUUUUGAAAUUUUAGUCCUGAACCAAAUAAUAGUAGUUAAAUUAUUUUGUUUAAAUUCAAUUACUAGUCAUGUCCUAUGUGUACAAUUAUAGAUUUAAUAAAUAUAUUUCCUAAUUGAAUCAUUUUAAGUCCCUAUUUUUUUCGAAUUCUAAAAUUUCCGUCUCGACACAAAUGAUAGUCACUAAUCCAUUAACUAAAAUUUCAGUAAGUAAUAUGUGAAAAUAUCAAACAGAAAUGCCAUUACACAUAUGAUAAUAUGUUUGUUGCAUCAAAUUUUGAAAAUAACAGAAUUUAAUGAAUUUAACAAUUAUCGUUUAGUGAAGGCUGAAAUUUUAAAAUUUAAAAAGUAAGAGAAUUAAAAAUGACCAAAUUAAAGUAUCAGUAUUAAAUCUGCAACUUUUGUUAAGUAAGACUAAUAAUAAAAUUUAACCUUAUUUUUUUCUUGAAAGAAAUUGAAAGUGACCAUUUAAGUAUAUAAUAUGUGAUUGGGAUUGGAGAAUAUGAAUGGUGUGAUAGAUUUUGAAUGUAGGAAACAAAAUUUUUUGAAAUGUGGUUGUAGGAUGGAGUGGGUUGGAUUUAUUUGUGUGUGGUCAAUGUAUAACUCUUUGCCUUUAUACUAUAUAAAAGUAUCAUUUUAUCCGUUUAAUAUGUAUAACUAUUUAAAUAUGUAGAAAUGUGAAAAUGUAUUAUAGAAAAGCCUUUAUGUUUAAUUUUUUUUAAAAUUUUAUGUUCUAAAGUCACUAAAUUAUUAGUAAAUUUAUGUUUUGAUUACUCAACUUCAAAAAGUUACAAAAUGGUCAUGAGUUAUUAGAAAAUUUUCAUUUCAGUUGUUCAACUAUUCAAAACUUUUUUUGUUUAAGUCAUUACGCUGUUAAGUUCUUUCUAAGUUCAAUUAAUGAGCUCCAACCGAUGAUUUAACAAUCGUAUGGUGGAUUAGUACUCAUCGACGAGUAGAGGAAAUCCCUUGAGAUUUUUUAUCCAGUCGGCAACCAUUUUCAUGGGUGGUGAGGAACUGGAAAGAUGGAGGCUACGAAGAGAAAGAAAAAGAUAAACUGGCUUGCAGGGAAGAAUUGGAACAGUUUGGGAUGGUGGUUCCAUGGUGUUCGCAAGUGGAAGUAUUGUCUCAUCGUCGUUGGGUUGCUUCGUGACGCAUUGUGGGUGAAACUCGACGUUGGAGAGCAUAGUGGCCAGUGUAUCAAGGGACUAAUGCGAAGCUGAUUGAAGAUGUGGGGGGAAUGGGGUGAGAGUGAGUGCUAAUGAAGAAGGGAUCAUGGAACGUGAUGAGAUUGUUAGGUGCUUGGGUUUGGUGAUAGGGGAUGGGGAGAAAGGGAUGCAAGUGAAGAAGAAUGUUGAGAAAUGGAAAGGGUUAGCGGGGGAGGCCGCCAUGGAAGGCGGUUCCUUGGAUAUCAACCUUAAAGUUUUUGUGGAUGAUGUUGCUCAAGGUUGUUGCAAGUAAAUUUAUCUUUUCAUAUAAUUAUCUACAUUUAUAUCUCGAAUUCUUAAAUCAAGAAAUAAUAUGUUUGAAAACGAUCAAAUUCCUUUUGUUGUAAUAAUAAUAAUAUCAAAUGACCUAAAAUUCGAUGAAAUGUUACAAAUUAAUUUUUAAUUUAUGUUUGUAUUAAAUUUACGCUUAAAUUAAUUUUGGGUUAUGGUGUAAGUUUUUUUUAAAAAUAAUUUUAAUGGUCAAAUUUAAUUAAUAACACCAUCAAUUGGAUUUUAAAUUUUAAGUCAAACAAGAGACAAAAGUUUAAAAAUUAAAAGUAGCGGAUUAAAUGUUAAAAAAAAUUGCAAAAGAGUACAAGAAUUGGGGGUAUACUUAGAAAAAAUAUUAAAAUUUUCUUUUCUCCUCCAAUAGUAGAAUCUAAAGUUACGCACCUUUAUAAAAUUAAAAAAGAGUUAAUUGUCCAAGAUAAAUAUUAAAUAAUAAUAUUUAUAGACUCGAGUACAUGAAAUUUAUUGUUGGUCAUUGAAUUUAUCAUUUAACAAUUACUUUUGUUUUGGCUAUUGAGAAAAUUUUCUAGCCCUUAUAAUAUAUAUAUCUCCAUAUUAUUGGAUGUGUUACUUUUUAUUAAAUUACAUUGCCUAAGGUUGCUUAUUGCGAUUAUGGUAAUUUGCUGCAUCAUCCCCUGACUAAUUCUUCUCAUUUUUAGUGUUAGCAUUCUUCUGCUUAAAAUCUGGGUCUCAUGUUGCUUUUUGAGCAUCACUAUACCAUUCUCCUCUUUAACCCACCGAAAAAUCUAGUAGGAGCUUUUGCUUCCGAUUCUGGAGAAGUUUCCUCCCUCAAAAGUACCCUAUCGGCUUCAGGAGAUGCUGCCUCAUCAAAAGUGUAAUAGCCCGAAUUUGGGCCUAGUCGAAACAGUAGUUUCGGGACCACAAAUGUAAUAUUUCAAAAAUUUCUAUAGUAAGAUAUUAUCCUUGGUAUAGUAAAAUAAGGAAAUAAAGUAAAAAAAAAGGGGGAAAUUUUGAGUUAUGUCAACAUUGAGAAGUAUGACAUAUUAAUGCAAUAAAGGAUUAAAUCGCAAAAGUGAGAAAAGUAUUGAGGGAUUAAAGUGUAAAUAUGAAAAAGUUGAAGGACCAAAGGUCUAAAUAUUUUAAGGGUGGAAUGAUCUAGAAACUAAGGAAAAUGGAUGAAUUAGGACCAAAUUGAAUAAGAUAAGAAUUAUGAGGGACUAAAUCGUAAUUUUACCAAAUUAAGUGUGACUCAAUGAUGGAAUUUUAAAAGAUUAUGAAGGGCAAAAUGGUCAAUUAGAAGAGAGAGAAAUCUAGAAGGCAAUGAUGAUGUUGGUGAUAUUUUAGAUUAAUUAAUUAAAUAAAUAUUAGUUCAUUAAUAUUUUAAUAUGAUUUUUAAAUGAUAUUUUAUUAAUUUAUUAUUAUUCUAUUUAGUAUAUAUAUGAAAGGAAAGAUGAGGAAUUAUCAUCUUCUUCCCCAUGCAACCAACGUAUGAAGAGGAAAGAAAGAAAGAAACUUUCUUUUCUUUACAAUUUGGUCCUUUUAUAAAAAAUUCACCAUUUUCGCUUAGAAAUUAAAAGAAUUUCCAUAUCCAUCAAGAGAGAAAGAUAACAAGGAGACUAUGGGGAGCUAGAAUAUCAAGUUAGAUUCAAGAAAUAGAAGCUGGAGGAGGGAGAAAAUCAAGUUAAAGAUUGAAAUCAAUUGAGCAAGGUAAGAAUAUCAAGAUUUCAAUAUAUUUUUGAGUUUGAUAUUAUUGAAAAGGCAUGAAAUUGAUGUUAAUGUAGAGUUUUAUUAUAUAAGGUUUUAUGUUCUUGGUAUGUUAGUGAAGAGAAAAUAAGAGAAAGUGAUGAGAAAUAGUGUAGAGAAAGAAAAUAAGAGUGUUAUAAACUUAGUAAUCAAUAUUUUACACUAAAACAGUUUGGACAGCAGCAGUAGGUUAACUUUGAAAAAUCCCCAAAAAUUGUGGGAAUUGAAUUAGAAGAUGAAUAAAAUAUGAAAUUAAAGCUUAUUGAGUCUAGUUUCUCAUAAAAGAAAUGGUGUAAGCAAUAGAAUUUUAAAUCAUGAUAUAUAAUAAAUUUUGUGAGACAAUAUCAGAAUGAUUUUGGGUUCCCCUGUUCUAACUUUGGAAAAUCAUAAAAAAUUGAAGAAAAAUAAUUAUGAGUUAUAAUUUAUAUGAUUAGAAUCCUUAAUAAAUCUAUUUUCAAAUUAAAUAAACAUAAAAAUCAUCCAAAUUCUGUACAAUUAGAUAAUUCAUUUUUAGUGAAGAGUGGUCGGAACUGUCAGAUAGAAAAAUAGGGGAAACUUUAAAGAAUAAACUGUACUAUUUGGAUGAACCAAAAAUUCUGAAAAUUUUAUGGCAAUAAGAUAUAUGAGUCUAGUUUCAGGGAAAAUUAAUGGAUCUUAAUUUGGAUUUCUAUAGCUCAAGAUAUAAAUGAUUUAGUAACUAUGACUCAAAUGGACAGCUUUGAAUAAAUUUACAAGAAAAUAGUGAAAUUAUAGAUAAUGUUACUUAUAAGCAUGUUAUGUAAAUUAAGGAUGUGGAAUGGAGAGUGUACAAGCCCAAUUUUUGACCCAGGGCCCAAUAACAAAUUUUAACCUAAAAAAACUACCCAGGCCCAACUAGCCUAACCCAAUCAGCCCAAAACAUAAACACCUAGCAGAAACCCUAGCCCCCUGUUGUGCCGCACCUGCUCCUGGCCGCCUCACCUGCUCCGCCGUUCACCUGCUUUCUGCCAUUGCCCAACUGCCCACCUGCAAACGAGUAAAGAAAGCAGCAACAACAACAAUGAAAAGAGGAGAAAUGACAGUGGUGUAAAAAAAAAAUGGGUACACAAAUGGGUAUAUAAAAAAGGGCGGGGAUCACCGAAAGAGGGUCUUUUCCUUUUCUUUUGUAAUUUUUUCACAACACAACAGUUAAUGAAAAAAGGCAGAGAAAACAUUUAAAGGUGGAUUCAGACUUUUUAUUCUUUUUUUUGUUUGUUUUUAUGUUUGCUUGUUUAUAUAUAUAUACGAAUCUAUCUCAACAAAAACGAAAAUAAAAAAGAGAAAGAGAGAAACUCACCGGGGGGCUUUGAAAACCCGUCAUCGCGCUUCGCCGGCCGUCGAUCUGGUGGCCGUGCGGCGGAUGUGCGAACGGUGGCAGCUAAGGAGGGCUUUUAAAAAAAACCCUAACAGAGAAAAAGCUAGAGGCUUUUUUGUUUUUUUUUAUCUGCUAUUACAAAGUGUAUUUUUUAGGGGAAAUUUUAAUUUAAAUAGGAUCAGCUAAACGGCGCCGUUUUGGGUGGGAAAACCCCCGCGCGCGACCCGACCCGCGUCUCAGGAUCCACGUGUUUUGAUGAUUGGGUUAUUUACCCAUUUGGCCCUUCCGCCCUUUUGGGGUGUUUCAAUCUAGUCCUAUUUACAUUUUUAGAUUUUAUAAUUUUCGCCCAAAUUAUUUUUAGCGUUUUUGAUUUAGUCUUGCACUCAUAGAAUGGACACGUGUCCUAAUAAUUGGGAUAUUUUCCGUUUUGGCCCUCCGUCCUUUCGCGCGAGUCACAUUUUGGUCCUUUUCGUCCUUUUUAUUCCAAAUUCGCCCGGUAUUUCCUUUUUUUAUUUUAUUUCGAUUUAGCCCUUUUUUAGUCGCUUUAUUAUUUUGUUUAUUUUAUUAUUAUUAUUAUUAUUAUUAUUAUUUACUAUUAUUAUCUUUACUAUUAUUGUUAGUAUUAUUACUACUAUUAUUAUUACUAUCAUUAUAUUUACACCUAUAUUUACUUAUAUAAAUCUUAGAUAAUAGGUGAUAUAUUAUAUUAUUAUAAAAUUGCGUAUAUACGUACAUGUAUAUGUAUUCUUUUAACUAAUUUUAUAUAUACAUACAAAAUCAUAUUUUCGUAUAUUUUUUAAUUUGUAUAUACAUAUACUUAUAUCUAUAUUUUCUAAUUUUUAUAAAUAUAUUUAUAUGUACAUACUUAUAUUUUUUAUAUACUUUCUAAUUCGUAUAUACCUAUUUACAUCUAUAUUUUUAAUAUAUUUUAAACAUAUAUAUAAAUAUCACUAUUUACUUUUUUAUUUUUAUUUUUUAUUAUUAUUUUCAAAUUUUGAUGUAUACUUACAUAUAUAUAUCUUUACAUUUUUAUAAUUUUAUUCAUUUAUUUAUUUACAUUUUCAUUAUUAUUUUGAACGAAUGCUUUAAUUUUAUUUGCUUGUAUACAUUGCUAUUUCGUAUGUUAUUGGUCUGUACCUUUUAUUUUUCUUAUUUUCGUUGCUAUUACUUGCAUUGUUUUUACAUCAUCGUAUUCAUAUUUAUUUAGUUACGCAUAUUAACAUCGUAUCUUAUUUUUACUGUUUCGUGAAAAAAAUAUUUCAUUCAAUGUAUGAAUUAUAACUUUUUGAGUAAACAAAAUUUCGUGUUUAGAUUUGAGAAAGUCGUACCCUAACUUACUGGGUUUCGACUUUCACAACAAAUCUAAAGACACGAAUCUUUUUAAACUCAAAUUUUAAAUGAUCUCGGGAUUAAAAAUCGCGUCCUAACUUACUGGUCGUGAUCUCAUUUUCAAAUCCGAGAUGGCUAAACCUAUCUUUUAAAUAAGCAUUUUUAUUCGCGUAUCGAGAACUCGAGACGUUGUAUCCUAACUCACUGGAUAUGAUGUCUUUUCUCGAUUAACGUGAAAUAUGCCACUUUUUCCAAGAUUUUCAACUUUUUAAUACAAAGAUCAUAUUUUUAAAAUUCUUUUAAAUUAUCAAUUUUCGACAUUAAGACAUUAAGUAAUCAACUAGGUACCAAUUUUGGGCGUAUCGAGGGUGCUAAUCCUUCCUCGUGCGUAACCGACUCCCGAACCCGUUUUCUAAAUUUCGUGGACCAAAACCGUUGUUUUAAUAAAAUCAAACCGUUUAUUAAAAACAACCCCUCUUCGAGGUGAUCCAAUCGCACCUCAUAAAAAAAAGAGGAUUGGUGGCGACUCCCGUUUCUUUUUUCAAAACCCAAGUCAACCCCGUUUUUCAUCCAAAAAAUGGUGUCAACAGCUUGGCGACUCCACUGGGGACACAGAUAAGAGGGUCAAGCCACGUGGUGAUUACUUUUUGUCUUUUGUCAAAAAUUGAAAAUUCGGUUUAAAAUUACGAUCCUUUCAUCGCAUUUUAUCUGUCUUUAUCAUAAUCAUCACCAUUAGGGUUUAUAUUUGCUCUGUUUGUUUAAAUUUUGGUAUCUUUCCGCAUUUCAUUGCAUGACCGUUGGUCACACCUUUAAGUGGGAGUGAGAAGCUACGCCUUCGUGAGGUUUUCACCUCCGCAUGGGAUAGUGAAUCGCUUUCGGGAUAUAUCCGUACCUAUGUCUUCGUGAGAUUUUCAUCUCCGCAUGGCCAUAGAGAAAUGUAUCCCCCUGAAUCGAACUUGGUCCGUAUGAGCCUAUAAUGGGUGAGGAUCGAGGAAUUUGCUGGUUCAGGUACCCUACUUUAGAACCAAACCACAUGUAAUGAGCCAUAGGAACCGACCUAGGUAGAGCUACUCCAAAUUUUUAGUGCUUACCUAAAUGAAUGUUGUAUUUAUUUGUCGCUUAUUUUAAAUCUUAUUCUGUGUUUAAUGUUAAUUUACUUUGUUUGUGAUUGCAUGGCAUCUUCAUUCUAAAAGAGGUGUCGAUUUACGUUCAGUUUCUUGGUAGAAAGCUUAUCAUGGAAAAGGGGUUUGUUGAUAAAGUAGAGGAUAAUGCGGCUGUGCAAAUAUGGGCUGAAACGACACAACGAGAGAAAGGCGAUAGUCUUACCGAAGGGUACGUGUCAGAAUUGUGGGAUUUUACCCGUAUCAGUGUAAUCCAGAAUGACCUUCGAGAAAUGAAAGAAGUCUGGGAUCAAUGGGAUGUCGAGGCCAAGCAGCUGUUCUAUUGUAACUACGGUGACCUACCUUAUCUGCUUAGUGUCAAAGUGGACAAGUAUUUAUUCCGAGCCCUUGCUCAGUUUUGGAAUCCUGCCUACAGUUGUUUCACUUUUGGGAAGGUAGAUUUGACGCCUACUGUGGAGGAGUAUACGACCUUGCUUCGGUGUCCAAAGAUUCAAGUCGACAAGGCUUAUUCCAAAGCUGCUUGUGUCCCUCCGUUGUUAAAGAAAUUAAUGAACAUCACUGGGAUGAGCGAGCAGUGGGUCGCUGUCCGGAUCCAACAGAAGAGCGACAGUAAAUGUGUUCCUUGGAAAAGUUUGCGAGAUUUGGUGCUUGUACAUCCUGACUUAAAGAAAAGGGUCGAUAUCUUCGCUUUAGGUAUCUAUGGACUAGUGGUUUUCCCCAAAGCUUUAGGACACAUAGACGAGGCUGUAUCUGAUUUGUUUGAUCGGCUUAGUAAAGGGGUUACACCGGUUCCGGCAAUACUCGCUGAAACUUUUAGAUCCUUGAAUGCGUGUCGAAAAGCAGGGGAGGGAAGGUUUAUUGGAUGCGCACAGCUCUUAUUGGCAUGGUUCCAUAGCCACUUCUGGAAAGUCGAAAAGGUCUCUUAUCGGGUAUUCUCCGAUAGCUACUCCCCUCUAGGAGAAUUGGUGGCCACGCCAAGACGGGAUGAUAUUUCAGAAGAAAAAUGGAUAGAGAUACUCCAGAAUCUCCAAGAUGAAGAUAUUGAAUGGAGGGCUCCUUGGUUAAUUCCUGAUGAGAUAUUGUACCGAUGUGGAGAUUUUGACUGGGUUCCGCUGCUCGGGAUAUGGGGAGCUAUCGGAUAUGCUCCUCUACUCGUAUCAAAACAGUAUAGAUCACGACAAUUCAUACCAGCAACCCAGGGGUUAGCUUAUAGUGAUUUUUCCUAUAGGGAGGACAAUUACAAGAAGAAGGUUCGAGAAAUAUCUAGUGCCUGGAACCAGACUCGUCGAAUGAAGAUCUUAGCCGUGGGUCCGACAAUUACCCCCGAGUAUGGUCAGUGGCGUGAUCAAAGGAUCAACGACAACAUCCCGGCGUCAAAUCCAGAAACUGCUCGAUCUUUGGAGGAACACUUACAAGUUUUGCCUUCUGAGAUAGAAAUCAUCAAACAAGAAUUCGAAAAAAGGAGUUUAGAAUUGGGGAAGAAGAUAGAACAACUAGAGGAAGAAAAAAUGCAGUUAGGACUGGAUGUGGACAUUCAAAGAUUAGAGGCCAACAAAUUGAGAAAAGGAAAGAACAAAGCAGAAGAAGAUUUGGACAGCCUGAAGACAGAUUACAAGAAGUUGCGUAGGUCGGUAAGAGCUGCUGGCUUGGGUAAAACGCCAGAACAAUGGCGACAAGAAAUUCAGGAGGAAAAGACGAAAGCUAAUCAAUGGGAAAAGAAAUUUCAGGAUACUCGGGCUCGAGAGGUCGCCUUGGGAAAGAGUCUACUAGUUUGCCAAGACGAGAAGACGGAGUUGAAGGUCCGGAUAACCGAACUAGAAAGAUCGCUUCACCAGUACUGUAAUCGUAAUGCUACGGUUGAAUUAAGGGCGAGCUUAGACAAAAUUGAAUAAUUAAAAAGACAAAUAGGAGGGCUAGAGAACGCAUUGCAAAAUAGUGAAAUCCGGAUAGAGCUUCUGGAAGAAAGUAAUGAGCAGUGGCAAAGACAAUUCCGUCGGUCUCAAGAGCAGAUUGGAGAAAGAGAUUAUAUUAUGGGAGAGGCGGUGAGUCAAGUGCGCGAAGUAGCUGAUCAUCUGUAAACUCUAGCGGUUCAGGCUGAUCUAUUAAGUUUGAAGUAUGAGUCAGAGUCGGACAGGGGCCGAGAAUUAGCUUGACUUCUUAGAAAGGUUAAGGCUUUGAGUGUGAGGGCAAAGCCAUAUAUGUAGUCUAUUUUAUGUAAAAAAACUCUUUAUCUAGUAAAGUUUUCUAAUGAAGUUGAAUUAGAAUCAGUGCCUCUUUUUCUUUGCAUCCUUUUCAUGCAUUGCAUCACAUCACAUGCAUUAAUGACCAUUAAAAACCUAAUCGAAUAAAAUCAUUUCAGUUAACCUGGAAAACCAACAAAGUUACGGCACCCGAGCUAAGACAAAAAUUAUGGACCAAAGGUUGGAGAAGCUAGAGCGACUUCAAAGAGAAAUGCAAGACCAGUUGCAGGCGCAAAUGAAAGAGCAAAUAGAAAAGAUUCAGCGUGACAUGGUGCAAAAGAUGGAGGAGUCCCAAAAUGAUCUGGUGGCUAAGAUGACGCAACUAUUGAAGGGAGUAGAUAAGGGUAAAGGUCCUGUGAUUGUUAGUGAAGAAGAAAACAAUGGUGAACCACUUUAUCCUCCAGGUUUCACGCCUCCGCAUGCGCAAGUACAGACUGAGCUGCAUCCGCGGAGACCCUCUGUGUCGGUUAGGCCCCAGCAGUUCCAAGGCGAUGCUUCAAUCCCAAUGAAUUUUCAACCCGGAGCGGGCCUUAAUCCCGGUGAUAGCCCGAAUAAUAUUGCUGUCCCAGAUCUUGACGAGAUGGUUGAAAAGGAUAAGGCGAAGGAGGAAUUUCCAAAACAAUUUGAGGAGAAAUGGAAAUGGAUAGAAGAGAAGUUUAGGGCAAUAGAAAGCAUCGAAAGCUAUGGAAUAGAUGCAAAGGAUCUAAGCUUGGUUCCGGACUUGGUGCUCCCUUACAAAUUUAAGAUGCCGGAAUUUGAGAAAUACAACGGGACUAGUUGCCCAGGAUCCCAUAUUACUAUGUUUUGUAGAAGAAUGACGGGGCAUAUUAAUAAUGAUCAAUUAUUAAUACAUUGCUUUCAGGAAAGUCUUACGGGAGCGGCGUCAAAGUGGUACAAUCAGCUGAGCCGAGCUAAAAUUGCUACUUGGAGGGAUUUAGCACAGGCUUUCCUGAGACAAUACAAUCAUGUCUCAGAAAUGAUGCCUGACAGGAUAACUCUGCAAAAUUUAGAGAAGAAAUCGAACGAAAGCUUCAGACAAUAUGCGCAGAGGUGGCGAGAGGUGGCAGUUCAGGUGCAACCACCGCUUUUGGAAAAAAAGAUGACGACGCUUUUUAUUAAUACUUUGAAAGCCCCGUUCAUCACUCACAUGUUGGGAAGCGCUUCAAAAAAUUUCUCGGAUAUAAUCAUGAAUGGUGAAAUGAUUGAGCAUGCCAUUAAAAGUGGAAAAAUAGAUGGAGGAGAAAAUAAUAGGAGGGCACCCUUGAGGAAAAGAUAAAAUGAAGUGAAUAAUGUGAAUGCUUAUGGUAGGUCAAUUACCGUGAAUCAACCAAAGAAAGUGGUUGCUAAUCAACAGGGAUCAUCAAGACAAGAGUCGGGAGCUAGGUAAACUACUGAAAAGCCCCAAUUCACGCCAAUCCCGAUGUCAUACAAAGAGUUGUAUCAGACUUUAUUCGAUGCACAUGUUGUUGCUCCUCGUUACUUGAGUCCUCUACAACCCCCGUAUCCAAAAUGGUAUGAUAUGAACGCGCAAUGUGAUUAUCAUGUGGGAAUUUCUGGGCACUCGAUAGAAAAUUGUACUGCCUUCAAGAAGGUAGUAGAAGGACUUAUCAAUUUAGGUGUCGUCAAACUUGACGACUCACCUAAUGCAAAGAAUCCGUUACCUAAUCACGCAGAUAAGGGGGUGAAUAUGGUUAGCGAAGAUACGGGAGAAGAAGUCAAGACUGACAUUGCUGAAGUAAAAACUCCAUUGAAACGGGUCUGGAAAGAAAUGGCGAAAAGAGGUUUGGUUAUUUCAGAUUCUGAGGAAGGGCAUGAGAUGGGAAAUUAUUGUGAAUUUCACCAUAAAACAGGGCACGAAAUCCAAGAAUGUGAAGGAUUUAAGGCUUUGGUUCAAAGCAUGAUGGAUAACAAGGAAAUGAGGUUUUACGAAGAUGCGAAAGAAAUGAGGAGCAUAUGCGCGACAGAGUUGGGAACAAAGGCUCCAAAAAUAAAUCAUCCUGUGGUCAUUAUCUCACGCCCUAAGGGUAAUGAGGUUAGGGCUCAGGUAACACCGAAAAUUGUAAUCCAGAAACCAUCAAAUUUCUCUUAUAGGGAUAACAAAAUGGUGCCGUGGAAUUACGGGUGUAAUGUGACCAUUUUGGGAAAAGAAGCAGAAAGAAAUCAGGAAAUAGGUUCUUACACGCGUAAUGGAAAAAGAUGUGACGCUCAAGCAGAGUCGUCCAGGGAAGAGAAUUGGAAGAAAGAACAGAGGAAAGGGAAAGCAGUAGAAGUUGAACCAUUGGUAAAUGAACCAAUAAAAGAAGAGGAGGCAAAGGAGUUUUUGAAGUUUUUAAAACACAGUGAAUACAAUGUUGUGGAGCAACUGCACAAACAGCCAGCCCGCAUUUCUGUAUUAGCUUUACUCUUAAACUCAGAAGUACAUCGGAAUGCACUAUUAAAGGUGCUAAACGAAACAUAUGUGGCUGACGAUAUUUCGGUAAACAAGCUGGAUCGACUGAUCAACAAUAUUGGUGCUGACAAUUUUAUCUUCUUCAGUGAUGAUGAAAUACCAUCCGGAGGAAGAGGUUCUACUAAAGCCCUGCAUGUUACUGUCCGAUGCAAAGGGUACACACUCCCGGGGGCCUUGGUUGAUAAUGGAUCUGCACUAAAUGUAUUGCCUUUGUCCACUCUUAGUCGAUUACCAAUAGACAGUUCGCACAUGAAAGCAUGCCAGAGCAUAGUAAGGGCAUUUGAUGGAACAAAAAAGGAGGUUAUGGGGAGAAUUGAGGUACCAUUAAGGAUUGGCCCAGUCACUUAUGAGGUGGAUUUCUUGGUAAUGGAUAUUAAACCCUCCUACAACUGUCUAUUGGGGAGACCGUGGAUACACUCAGCAGGGGCAGUACCUUCAUCAUUACAUCAGAAGGUGAAGUUGGUAUCGGAGGAUCGGUUGGUAACAAUAGAUGCAGAGGAGGAUAUUAUCGCAAUGAUGACUAGCGAUGCACCUUAUGUGGACAUCAACGAUGAGACACUAGAAUGUUCUUUUCGGUCGUUAGAAUUUGUGAACGCGAUGUUUAUUGCGGAGGGAAAUAGAAUUCCAGUACCGAAAAUAUCCAGGACCACUGAGAUGGGAUUGCGAUUGAUGGUAGGAAGAUGAGCCUUACCCGGGAAAGGAUUGGGAAAAUAUCUUCAGGGAAGGAUUGAGGCACCAAUGCCGAAGGAAAAGUUUGAUAGAUUUGGUUUAAGGUACAAGCCAGACAUGAAGCAGAAGAAGAAAGAAGUAGAGAAGAGACAAGAGAGAAGAAGGGCGCGUUUGAAUGGACAUGAAGCUAAGUGUGAGCCUUUAACCUUUCCCCACAUAUCUACAUCUUUUGUGUCGGGAGGAUUUAUUCAUUCUGAAUGUGGAGUGUCCGGUAGCGGCAUGGGAGGAAUGUUGGAAAACGUUUAUACUAACGCCAUAGAAGCAACGGAAAGGAGGGCUUUGUUGGAGAUCUGCCCUUAUGAGCCUGGAAGCGAGCUAAACAAUUGGACUGCUGAAGAAAUCCCUGUAGUCUUUAGGGCUUAUUCAGAGUAAUGCUCAAAACAUUCCUGUUGUUUGUUGGCCUAGAAACGAUAUGAAAUCUUUUGUGAAAUAGGCAUUGGGCCUAAAUAUCAUUAUUUUAAUGAAAUACGUGUCUACGUUCAUCUCGAUCAGUCACUUUUUUCUUUUAUAUUUUUCAUUUGGUUGAUUGUCUUACAAAUAAUUCUUUCAUUUAUAAUUCUUUUGCACAAACAUAUUCAUAAAUUUAUAUUCUUAGUAUAUUCUUUGAUCUGCCCUCAUAGGUCUUCAGAUAUCAAUGACAUGAGUGACGCUGCCUCAAACGCGGAGCCUAUUUUUGAGCAAGAAGUGUGUUCAGAGGGAUCCCACGACUUUGAAAAUGACGAAGAUUAUGAUGCAUCUCCGGACUUGUUAAGAAUGAUGGAACAAGAGGAUAAGCAUAUCCUACCUCAUAGGGAAUCGUUAGAAAUAGUGAGCCUAGAGGAUGGAAAUGAGGUGAAAAUUGGAACUGAAAUCACCGCAAAGACAAGGCAAGACCUCAUUAAUUUGCUCCGAGAGUUCAAGGAUGUUUUCGCGUGGUCGUACCAAGAUAUGCCUGGGCUAAGUACUAACAUUGUGGUGCAUCGUCUGCCCAUAAAGGAGGAUUGUAAACCCGUUCAACAGAAGCUUAGGAGAAUGAGACCUGACAUUGUGUUGAAAAUAAGAGAAGAAGUCAAAAGACAAUUCGACGCUAGUUUCUUACAAGAGGUCAAGUAUUCGGAUUGGGUAGCCAACAUCGUCCCUGUUCCCAAAAAAGAUGGAAAGGUACGAAUGUGUGUGGAUUAUAGGGAUUUAAACAAGGCUAGUCCAAAGGACAACUUUCCACUGCCUCACAUUGAUACUUUGGUAGAUAACACGGCGGGCUAUUCAUUGUUUUCUUUCAUGGACGAUUUCUCUGGAUACAAUCAAAUAAAGAUGCAUCCUGGAGACAUGAGGAAAACCACAUUCAUUACCUUAUGGGGAACAUUCUGUUACAAGGUAAUGCCCUUCGGAUUGAAGAAUGCGGGAGCAACGUAUCAAAGAGCUAUGGUGACUUUGUUUCACGACAUGAUGCACAAGGAGAUCGAAGUCUAUGUUGACGAUAUGAUCGCGAAGUCUAGAACGGAAGAAGAGCAUGUUCAGGUCUUGAAAAGGUUAUUUUUGAGAUUAAAGAAAUUUCAGCUCAAGCUUAACCCGGCCAAAUGCACGUUUGGAGCCAGAUCAGGGAAGUUAUUAGGCUUCAUAGUUAGCAAAAAGGGGAUCGAGGUUGACCCAGACAAAGUAAAGGAAAUACGAGAUUUACCUCCCCCGCGCACUCAGAAGGAGGUUCGAGGUUUCCUAGGGAGGCUGAAUUACAUUGCUCGGUUCAUCUCACAACUGACAGAGAAAUGUGAUCCAGUAUUCCGGCUCUUAAAGAAACAUAAUCCGGGCGAAUGGAAUGAAGAGUGUCAGAGGGCUUUCGAUAAGAUAAAGCAGUACUUGGCUAAUACUCUAGUCUUAUCACCUCCAAGUCCAGAUAGGCUAUUGAUAUUGUAUCUAACAGUGUUGGAGAAUUCCAUGGGAUGCGUAUUGGGCCAACAUGAUGAGACGGGAAAGAAAGAAAGGGCAAUAUACUAUCUCGGUAAGAAAUUUACCGAUUGCGAAAUGAGGUACUCAUCAAUUGAGAAGUUGUGUUGUGCUCUAAUCUGGGCAACCCGAAGACUGAGGCAGUAUAUGUUGUAUCACACAACUUGGUUGAUUUCAAAGUUAGAUCCUUUAAAAUAUAUGAUGGAAUCGACUGCUUUGAACGGGAGAAUGGCUAGAUGGCAGAUCUUGCUCUCAGAAUUUGAUAUAGUAUAUGUCAGUCAGAAGGCCAUAAAGGGAAGUGCAAUAGCCGAUUUCCUAGCUAGUAGAGCCUUGGAGGACUAUGAAUCUUUGAACUUCGAUUUUCCAAACGAGGACUUGAUGUAUGUGGCGAAUACUGAAGAAAAUCCUCAAAUGGAUCACGUAUGGAAGUUAAAUUUUGAUGGAGCUUCAAAUGCUACGGGUAAUGGAGUUGGGGCAGUUUUGGUAUCCCCAAGUGGAGAUCAUUAUCCUGUUGCUAGCAAGUUGGACUUCGAUUGUACAAAUAACAUGGCAGAAUAUGAAGCAUGUAUUAUGGGCAUUCGUGCAGCCAUUGAACGGAACAUCAAAGUACUGAGAGUAUACGGGGAUUCAGCGUUGGUGAUAUACCAACUCAAAGGGGAGUGGGAGACUAGAGAUCCUAAGCUGAUCGGUUAUAGAAAACUAGUUCUUGAAUUGGCUGAGGAGUUUGACGAUAUCACCUUCUAUUACCUCCCACGGGAGGAAAACCAAAUGGCUGAUGCAUUAGCUACUCUAGCUUCGAUGAUUCAGGUGAAUAGACUUGAGGCAAUGAGGCCUGUUCAGAUGAGUAUCUCUGAGACCCCGGCUAAUUGCUGCAAUAUUGAGGAGGAGGGAAAAGAUGAUUGUCCUUGGUAUCGGAGUAUCUUACAAUAUGUGAAGAAUCGGGAAUACCCUGAUCAAGCGACAGAGAAUGACAAAAGAACUCUGAGAAAGAGCAGAUCGAAGACACUAUCCUAUCUCCCUGAAGUUACAGUGGAGCGGAUUAAAAUAAAGGAUCUUAUCUCUCUGAGGUUACAGCAGAGUAGAUCGCAUCAAGUCUUAUUUCCCUGAAGAUGCAGUGGAACAGACUGAAAACAAUAAGGCGUGUCUCCUUAAAGUUGUAGCGGAGCGGACAGAAGAUAGUGAUUCUUAUCAUGUCUAAUCUUAUUCCCCUAAAGUUGUAGUAGAAUAGAUGGAAGCGAAGUCACAAACCUUGUCUCUCUGAAGUUGCAGUAAAGCAGGUUGAAGUCACGAAUCUUAUCCCCCUGAAGUUGUAGUGGGGCAAGUUGAAGAUAUGAGUCCGAUCUCCCCGAAGUUGCAGUGGAGCGGGUCAAAAUGAUGGACCUUACCCCCUGAAGCUACAAUAGAGUGGAUUGAAGCUACAAGUUUUGUCUUUUGGAAGUUACAGUGGAGUGGGUCGACGCAACAAGACACAGUGGACUAGAAUAAAGUUACUUGAAAAGAAGCGUCAAGAGAAGUCAAUACUCGGCAAAGACUGGACAAAAAUUGGUCUUUCUUAGUCUUUGCUCUGUUAUCGUUACACGACAACGAGCAAAGAGGGGCAGCUGUACAAGCCCAAUUUUUGACCCAGGGCCCAAUAACAAAUUUUAACCUAAAAAAACUACCCAGGCCCAACUAGCCUAACCCAAUCAGCCCAAAACAUAAACACCUAGCAGAAACCCUAGCCCCCUGUUGUGCCGCACCUGCUCCUGGCCGCCUCACCUGCUCCGCCGUUCACCUGCUUUCUGCCAUUGCCCAACUGCCCACCUGCAAACGAGUAAAGAAAGCAGCAACAACAACAAUGAAAAGAGGAGAAAUGACAGUGGUGUAAAAAAAAAUGGGUACACAAAUGGGUAUAUAAAAAAGGGCGGGGAUCACCGAAAGAGGGUCUUUUCCUUUUCUUUUGUAAUUUUUUCACAACACAACAGUUAAUGAAAAAAGGCAGAGAAAACAUUUAAAGGUGGAUUCAGACUUUUUAUUCUUUUUUUUGUUUGUUUUUAUGUUUGCUUGUUUAUAUAUAUACGAAUCUAUCUCAACAAAAACGAAAAUAAAAAAGAGAAAGAGAGAAACUCACCGGGGGGCUUUGAAAACCCGUCAUCGCACUUCGCCGGCCGUCGAUCUGGUGGCCGUGCGGCGGAUGUGCGAACGGUGGCAGCUAAGGAGGGCUUUUAAAAAAAACCCUAACAGAGAAAAAGCUAGAGGCUUUUUUUUUUUAUCUUCUAUUACAAAGUGUAUUUUUUAGGGGAAAUUUUAAUUUAAAUAGGAUCAGCUAAACGGCGCCGUUUUGGGUGGGAAAACCCCCGCGCGCGACCCGACCCGCGUCUCAGGAUCCACGUGUUUUGAUGAUUGGGUUAUUUACCCAUUUGGCCCUUCCGCCCUUUUGGGGUGUUUCAAUCUAGUCCUAUUUACAUUUUUAGAUUUUAUAAUUUUCGCCCAAAUUAUUUUUAGCGUUUUUGAUUUAGUCUUGCACUCAUAGAAUGGACACGUGUCCUAAUAAUUGGGAUAUUUUCCGUUUUGGCCCUCCGUCCUUUCGCGCGAGUCACAUUUUGGUCCUUUUCGUCCUUUUUAUUCCAAAUUCGCCCGGUAUUUCCUUUUUUUAUUUUAUUUCGAUUUAGCCCUUUUUUAGUCGCUUUAUUAUUUUGUUUAUUUUAUUAUUAUUAUUAUUAUUAUUAUUAUUAUUUACUAUUAUUAUCUUUACUAUUAUUGUUAGUAUUAUUACUACUAUUAUUAUUACUAUCAUUAUAUUUACACCUAUAUUUACUUAUAUAAAUCUUAGAUAAUAGGUGAUAUAUUAUAUUAUUAUAAAAUUGCGUAUAUACGUACAUGUAUAUGUAUUCUUUUAACUUAUUUAAUAUAUACAUACAAAAUCAUAUUUUCGUAUAUUUUUUAAUUUGUAUAUACAUAUACUUAUAUCUAUAUUUUCUAAUUUUUAUAAAUAUAUUUAUAUGUACAUACUUAUAUUUUUUAUAUACUUUCUAAUUCGUAUAUACCUAUUUACAUCUAUAUUUUUAAUAUAUUUUAAACAUAUAUAUAAAUAUCACUAUUUACUUUUUUAUUUUUAUUUUUUAUUAUUAUUUUCAAAUUUUGAUGUAUACUUACAUAUAUAUAUCUUUACAUUUUUAUAAUUUUAUUCAUUUAUUUAUUUACAUUUUCAUUAUUAUUUUGAACGAAUGCUUUAAUUUUAUUUGCUUGUAUACAUUGCUAUUUCGUAUGUUAUUGGUCUGUACCUUUUAUUUUUCUUAUUUUCGUUGCUAUUACUUGCAUUGUUUUUACAUCAUCGUAUUCAUAUUUAUUUAGUUACGCAUAUUAACAUCGUAUCUUAUUUUUACUGUUUCGUGAAAAAAAUAUUUCAUUCAAUGUAUGAAUUAUAACUUUUUGAGUAAACAAAAUUUCGUGUUUAGAUUUGAGAAAGUCGUACCCUAACUUACUGGGUUUCGACUUUCACAACAAAUCUAAAGACACGAAUCUUUUUAAACUCAAAUUUUAAAUGAUCUCGGGAUUAAAAAUCGCGUCCUAACUUACUGGUCGUGAUCUCAUUUUCAAAUCCGAGAUGGCUAAACCUAUCUUUUAAAUAAGCAUUUUUAUUCGCGUAUCGAGAACUCGAGACGUUGUAUCCUAACUCACUGGAUAUGAUGUCUUUUCUCGAUUAACGUGAAAUAUGCCACUUUUUCCAAGAUUUUCAACUUUUUAAUACAAAGAUCAUAUUUUUAAAAUUCUUUUAAAUUCUCAAUUUUCGACAUUAAGACAUUAAGUAAUCAACUAGGUACCAAUUUUGGGCGUAUCGAGGGUGCUAAUCCUUCCUCGUGCGUAACCGACUCCCGAACCCGUUUUCUAAAUUUCGUGGACCAAAACCGUUGUUUUAAUAAAAUCAAACCGUUUAUUAAAAACAACCCCUCUUCGAGGUGAUCCAAUCGCACCUCAUAAAAAAAAAAGAGGAUUGGUGGCGACUCCCGUUUCUUUUUUCAAAACCCAAGUCAACCCCGUUUUUCAUCCAAAAAAUGGUGUCAACAGAGAGGAGGAGGAAAAUAAAUUUAUGAAUAUUAUGCUCGCAUGGAUUUGCAUUUCAAAUGGUUAAUUUGCAUGAUUUGGGCUCGAGGACUAAAUUGAAUAAAAGUAAAACUUUAGGGGUAAUUUUGGAAAAAUGUCAAAAAAUGACUAAAUUCCAUGAAAUGAAUUGUUUUAUUAUUUAAAUUACUAAAUUGAAUGAAAUAUUAAUUUAGAUCAAUAUUGGGUGGAAAUUCGUGAAAAAUAGAAAUUUUUUAAAAUGUCCCUGAAUUUUGGUAUUUCUGCAAUUUAGCCUGGUAAGUUCUUAUGAACUAUAUUUUGUAUAAUUUUAAUUGAAUUGAAUGCUAUUUGGUAAUGAAUAUUAUAUAUAUAUGUGUGUUUGGAAUUGAUUUAUUAUUGGAUGUUUUGAAAUGAUUAUCGGAAGCUCGAUUGGGUUGGAAGCUUGUUGGAGAUAUAUCACAUUGUCCAUUGGUUCUAUCGGAAAUUUUGGAUGAUUUGAUUCUGGUUAUUGUAUAAGUUAAAUUGGUUAAUGUUAGCUCAUAAAAGUUUUGAUUUUGAUUGGUUAUAAAUAUGAAUGCUUGAUGAAAUGAAAUGUCUGAAAAUUAAUUUGUAAACUCCGAUAAUGCUCUAUAACCCUAUUCUGGGGAAGGAUACGGGUUAGGGGUGUUACAAAAAGCCUUCUCCUCUUGCCCUAUUACGGAUUGGAUUGAGAGCACCAAAGCCAAUGAGAACACAACCAAAAAAAACUUUUGCCAUCCUUUUUAUUUUCUAAAAAGGUUAAGAAAUAAGUAAAGAUAUAUUUUUAUUGAUGCUUAAGGAUGAAGAUGAGACAAAAUUUAAAGAUUUUAAAAUGAGACAUUUUGGGCGAAUUUAGGGGUCGUUGACUAGUCCAGUGCCUAAUAGCCAUACACGACAAAAAUACAUAUAACUUCUCUCCACAUUUUCAAUGGUGAUGUUUAUCACUAUUAUUGGUGGGUUCAAUUUACUUCACUUUGUUUCACUUGAAGACAUUGUGGGUGAUCAUUAAUGUGUUUUAAAAUCAUUCUGACCUUCCCUGUUUGCAUCAUCUGCACCAAUAAAAAACACUCCUUCUCCUUUUAUAGGUCAAUUUUUUUCAUGAAGCAACUUUAAACGUUACUAAUUUGUGGACCAAAAUCUAAAUAGCUUUCUUCUUCUAUAAUGAAGAUUGACUGUUAAAAAGAAUGUUCUUCUACUUGUCUAUAGGUAUCGAUCAUAGCACUGAUUGCCAAAUCAUUGCUUAGAGCUUGCUACCUAGACUUUUCAAAAAAAAAAGUCAAAUGACUAGGCCCGUUCUUGACAUUUUUGAGACCCUAGGCGGAACAAUAAAUUGGGGCCCCUUUUAAAAAAAUUAAAAAAUGUUAUGCAACAAAUAAAAAAAAUUGAGGCCAUUUUUUGAUCCCGUAAGAGCUUCUACUUUUGAUUCUGGAGAAGCUGCCACCCUUGAACUCAACAGUACCCUGUCAGCUUCCAAAGAUGCUGCCUCAUCAAAAGCCUUCUCCUCUUGUCCUACUACAAAUUGGAUUGAGAGCACCAAAGCCAUUGAGAACACAACCAAAAAAACCUUCACAAUCUUUUUUAUUUUCUAAAAUGGUUAAGAAAAAAAAAGUAAACAUAUAUUUUUAUUUAUGCUUAAGGUUGAAAAUGAGACGAAAUUUAAAGAGUUUAAAAUGAGAUAUUUUGGGCGAAUUUAGGGGUGGUUGACUAGUCUAGUGCCUAAUAACCAUACAUGACAAAAAUACAUAUAACUUUUCUCCACAUUUUCAAUGGUCAUGUUUGUCACAAUUUUUGGUGGUUUAAAUUUACUUCUUUUUGUUUCACUCGAAUACGUCGUGGGUGAUCGUUUAAAUUUUUUUAUUUUAUAAUUUUCACAUAUUUUUUUCAUUUAUUUAAAAUUUCAACCAAACAAAUUUUCUCAAUUUUUUUUCUACUUUUAGGAAAACAAAAAGAAAAAGAAAUCUUUAAUUUCUGAAACUAAAUAUACCCUAAACCUUUGCCUCCGACUCAUAAGAUAUUAAGAAUAAGGUAAUUAUUUGGUACACACGAAAUGUAAGUUUUUUAUUCCACAUAUGAAGUUGGGAUUUUGCCUCUUAUCAUAUAUAUAUUUAAUUUUUUGAAUAUAAAUUAAAUAAUAAAUAAUAAAAUCUCAACUAUAUUUAUGAAAUAAAAACCUUUCACCGUCACACCGAACAUUUCCCCUCGUGAUAUCACAAUAGUCUUUGUAAUCAUACUGACAAUCAUAAUGACAAAAGAAAGAAAAAGCUACGGGAUAUGAUAUUCACUACCCUCCAGUUAUGAGACUAUACAUAAUAUCGAUUGGAAGAAAUCGAAUUCAUAAAAAAUCCUACAAACUUAAUAGGUGUUUUUUUCAAGUAAGAAUAAUAAAUUUAGGGUCGAAAUUAAAUAGUAAUUUUUAUGAUAGUAAAAAUAUAAAUUUUAAAAGAUUAAAUCAAAAUUUUAUCAUUUUUAAAAAGUUAAAGUGCAACUUUCCUUUUACUAAUUUAAAAUUUUAAAAAUUUCUAAAAAGUCUAAAAGUAAAUGAUAAUAGAAUAAUUCUAAAAUCUGUCAUAUGCGCCAACUUGAGUUCUUGCGUCAAAUAUUUCGUGCUAUUUGCAUAUCCGCUCAUUUCUCGACACAUUGCAUAAUAAUUAUAAUUACUUAGAACAUGAUUAAAUGCCAAAUUAGAUAAAAUCCAUGUCAAAAAAUAAUCAAAAUAAAUAAUAAAAAUAUAUCGAUUAGCUGCAUUAUCAAUGUGUAAACCUAAUUUAAUGUCAAACUUAAAAGUUAAAAAUUUUCUUAUAUAUAAUGGUCAAACUAAAUUAUUGUUAAAUAUUAUAAAUAUUGAUAAUUAAUAAUAGUGUCCACACAUGAUUUUAAUAUUAAUGGUCAUAAUGUGUCAAACAAUUAAAAUAUUGACUUGUAAGAUUGUUUCCUUAAAUAUUGUAUAUAUUCGAGUUUUGCUAUUGUUGGGAGAAAAAAGUGAAAGGGUCUCGGCUCUCAGUAGUGUUGUGGAACUAAACUUUAAAUGUGGCUAAUUGUCUUGCAAGUCUUCCUUAUUUAUUAUUUUCUUUUUAUUCUCCUUCAACUGACUACAUUGUGUUUAAACAAACCCUUAAUCUAUUUUUGUAGUUAAAUAAGCCCUUAACUUGAUUUUUACUCAUAAAAUCCAUUUAUUUUAAUAUUAAAUUAAAUAUGUUUUACCCAUAUUAAAGGGCUUUUUAGUAUUUUAGCCCUGCUAGACUGUAUGUUGUAGAACCUGACACCUACAUUGCAGAAAUUGUUUGAUUAUUUUCAAUGCAUAAGAACCAAUGAAAACAUAGAUGGAAGGCUAAUAUACUAAAAGGUGCUUAAUCUAUUACACUUUGUUUAAACAAGCUUUUAUACUGUUUUUGUAGUUAAAUAGGCCCUCAAACUAUGAUUUUUACCCAUGAAAGUCCUAAAUUUUAAUAUUAAAGUAAUACUAUUUAAAAAAUAUAUAAAUUAAUUCGCAUUCUAUGUUGAUAUGAAUUUGAUGAGAAUAGUUUAUUAAAAAAAAUAAAAAUUUAAAAUUUGUUGAGAGUGCUUAUAUACAUGACAUGCUUAAUUACUAUUUUGAAAUUGCUGAUUACUUUUUUAGAUUUUAUGUUUCUGUUAAAGUGUAUAUAAUUUUUAUUGCAUCAACAAGAAAUUAAGAUGAGAGCUUGAAAUUCAAAAUAUAUUUACUUUAAUAUUAAAAUAAAAGACUUUUAUGUGUAAAACCCAUAGGUUAAGAGCUUAGUUAACUACAAAAAAAAGUUAAGGGCUUGUUUAAACACAAUAUAAUGAGUUGAAGGGGAAUAAAAAGAAAAAAUAUAUAACGAUGGUUUACAAGGCAAUUAGCCACAUUUAAGCGGCUCCCUUUCACUUCUUUUUCCAAUAGUCACUUAAAAUGGAAAUUUGCACUUCAAAUCCCUAAAUACUUUAAAUUAUUACAUCUCCGUUUGAUACCACUUGACACUAACAAAACAGUACAGUAAAAAACAUACCAUUUUGAUGUAUAUAUAUAUUCGGUUUUGUUAUUGUUUUUAACAUCGGCUUUUAAUUUAUCACAAUUUUUGGAUAAUUUAAAAAAAAUAAUAAUUAUAUUUUAAUUUAACAUAUAGAAAUUAAUGAGUCCUUGCAAAGCAAGAAUGUGUGUGACAGCGUGAUGAAUUUUUUCCCACACAAAAUCCAAAAGGAAUUAGGAAUCUUCAAAUUCGUCGGCCCAAACGUCACCCUUUUUCAGUGCUUCUCAUCAUUUAUAAAAACACUUCGAUUUCCUUUCUUUACUCCAAAUCCGACGUUCGUAAAAAAAGACCAGGUGAACUACCUACGCGCCGCCGUCACCACCAUGUCACAGCCUCAUUUCCUCCUAGUGACCUUCCCUGCACAAGGCCACAUAAACCCAACCUUACAAUUUGCCAAGCAUCUUAUACGUAUUGGCGUACGUGUAACUUUCAUCACCUGCAUCUCCGCUCGCCGCCGCAUGAGCAAAGUCCCCACUGCUCAAGGCCUAACGUUUUUACCCUUUUCCGAUGGCUACGACGACGGUUUUCAACCCGGCGAUGACAUAGACCAUUACCUAUCUGAAUUCAGGCGACGAGGCAAAGAAGCCAUCUCCGAGUUUAUAACAAGCAGUGAAAACGAAGGCAAACCCGUCACUUGCAUUGUCUACACCCUGUUCAUCCAUUGGGCCUCGGAGGUGGCGCGUAAACAUCACAUCCCGACAGCUUUACUUUGGAUUCAACCCGCCACCGUUUUCGACAUCUAUUAUUUUUACUUCAACGGAUACGAAACUACCUUUAAAGCUCAAGCUGAUGAAACAAACCCCCAGCGUUCAAUAAAAUUACCAGGUCUGCCGCUACUCGCCACCCGCGACCUUCCGUCGUUCCUAACCGCUUUAAACGUUUACCGUUGGGCACUGUCGUUAAUCCAAGAAAAAAUGGACGUCCUCGCUGAUGAAUCCAACCCCAAAAUCCUUGUUAACACAUUCGAUGCUUUGGAACACGAAGCAUUAAACGCCAUUGAAAAUUUCAACAUGGUCGGCAUCGGACCUUUAAUCCCAUUUUCUUUCUUGAACUCAAAUGACUCCUUGGAUAAUUCCUUGAGAACCGAUCUUUUUCAAUCCGAUUCAAAAGAUUACCUCCAAUGGUUAGACUCGAAACCAAAAUCGGCCGUCGUUUACGUUUCCUUCGGGAGCAUUGCGGUGUUAACGAAGCAACAAGUGGAGGAAAUCGCUCGAGCUUUAAUAUCCAGCCGGCGACCGUUUUUAUGGGUGGUGAGGAACCGGAAAGAUGGAGGCUACGAAGAGAAAGAAGAAGAUAAACUGACUUGCAGGGAAGAAUUGGAACAGUUUGGGAUGGUGGUUCCAUGGUGUUCGCAAGUGGAAGUACUGUUUCAUCCAUCCUUGGGUUGCUUCGUGACGCAUUGUGGGUGGAACUCGACGUUGGAGAGCAUGGUGGCCGGUGUACCAGUGGUGGCUUUCCCUCAAUGGACGGAUCAAAGGACUAAUGCGAAGCUGAUUGAAGAUGUGUGGGGGAAUGGGGUAAGAGUGAGUGCUAAUGAAGAAGGGAUCGUGGAACGGGAUGAGAUCGUUAGGUGCUUGGAUUUGGUGAUGGGGGAUGAUGAGAAAGGGAUGGAAGUGAAGAAAAAUGUAGAGAAAUGGAAAGGGUUAGCCACUGGAGCCGCCAUGGAAGGCGGCUCCAUGGAUAUGAACCUUAAAGCUUUUGUGGAUGAUAUUGCUGAAGGUUGUCGUAAGUAAAAUUAUCACUUUCAAAUCAAUUCAAUGUUUCAAUUCAAUUACCUGUAAUGUACUAUGCGUGCAAUUAUAGAUUUAAUAUAUAUUCUUUAAUUGAAUCAUUUUAAGUCACUAUUUUUUUCGAAUUCUAAAAUUUCCAUCUCGACACAAAUGAUAGUCACUAAUCCAUUAACUAAAAUUUCAAUAAGUAAUAUGUGAAAAUCGCAAACUGAAAUGCUAUUACACAUAUCAUAAUAUGUUUUGUUGCAUUAAAUUUUGAAAAUAACAGAAUUUAAUGAAUUUAACAAUUAUCGUUUAGUAAAGACUGAAAUUUUAAAAUUUUAAAAGUAAUAGAAUUAAAAAUAACCCAAUUAAAGUAUAAAUAUUAAAUCUACAAUUUUUAUAAAGUAAGACCAAUAAUAAAAUUUAAUAUUGUUUUUUUCUUGAAAGAAAUUGGAAGUGACCAUUAAGUACAAUAUGUGAUAGGGAUGGGAGAAUAUGAAUGGUGUGAUAGAUUUUGAAUGUAGGAAACAAACUUUUUUGAAAUGUGGUUGUAAGAUGGAGUGGGUUGGAUUUUUGUGUGUGUGGUCAAUGUGUAAUUCUUUGCCUUUAUAAAAGUAUCAUUUUAUCCAUUUAAUAUGUAUAACUAUUUAAAUAUGUAGAAAUGUGAAAAUGUAUUAUAGAAAAGCCUUUAUUUUUAAUUAAUGAGCUCUAACCGAUGAUUUAACAAUCAUAUGGUGGAUUAGUACUCAUCGACGAGUAGAGGAAAUCGCUUGAGCUUUAUUAUCCAGCUGACAACCGUUUUUAUGGGUGGUGAGGAACUGGAAAGAUGGAGGCUACGAAGAGAAAGAAGAAGAUAAACUGACUUGCAGGGAAGAAUUGGAACAGUUUGGGGUGGUGCUUCCAUGGUGUUUGCCAGUGGAAGUAUUGUCUCAUCGUCGUUGGAUUGCUUCGUGACACAUUGUGGGUGAAACUCGACGUUGGAAAGCAUGGUGGCCAUUGUACCAGUGGUGGCUUUCCCUCAAUGGACGGAUCAAGGGACUAAUGCGAAGCUGAUUGAAGAUGUGGGGGGAAUGGGGUGAGAGUGAGUGCUAAUGAAGAAGGGAUCAUGAAACGUGAUGAGAUUGUUAGGUGCUUGGGUUUGGUGAUGGGGGAUGAGGAGAAAGGGAUGCAAGUGAAGAAGAAUGUUGUGAAAUGGAAAGGGUUAGCGGAGAGGCCGCCAUGGAAGGUGGUUCCUUGGAUAUCAACCUUAAAGUUUUUGUGGAUGAUGUUGCUCAAGGUUGUUGCAAGUAAAUUUAUCUUUUCAUAUAAUUAUCUCCAUUUAUAUUUCGAAUUCUUAAAUCAAGAAAUAAUAUUUUUAAAAACGAUCAAAUUCCUCUUAACUGUUGUAAUAAUAAUAAUAAUAAUAUCAAAUUAAUGAUCUAAAAUUCGAUGGAAUGUUACAAAUAAAUUUCUAAUUUAUGUUUGUAUUAAAUUUAUGCUUAAAUUAAUUUUGGCCUAUGGUGUAAGUUUUUUUUAAAAAAAUUUUAAUGGCCAAAUUUAAUUAAUAACAUCAACAAUUGAAUUUUAAAUUUUAAGUCAAACUAAGAGACUAAAAUUUAAAAAUUAAAAGUAGUGGAUUAAAUUUUUAAAAAAAUUGCAAAAGAGUACAAGAAUUGGAGGUAUACUUAAAAAAAAUAUUAAAAUUUUCUUUUCUCCUCCAAUAAUAGAAUCUAAAGCUACGCACCUUUAUAAAAAUUAAAAAAAGAAUUAAUUGUCCAAGAUAAAUAUUAAAUAAUAAUAUUUAUGGACUUGAGUACAUGAAAUUUAUUGUUGGUCAUUUAAUUUAUCAUUUAACAAUUACUUUUGUUUUGGCUAUUGAGAAAAUUUUCUAGCCCUUAUAAUGUGUAUAUAUAUAUCUCCAUAUUAUUGGAUGUGUUUCUUUUUAUUAAAUUACAUAGCCUAAGGUUGCUUAUUGCGAUUAUGGUAAUUUGCUGCACCAUCCCCUGACUAAUUCUUCUCAUUUUUAGUGUUAGCAUUCUCCUACUUAAAAUCAGGGUCUCAUGUUGCUUUUUGAGCGUCAUUAUACCAUUCUCCUCUUUAACCCGCCGAAAAAUUCUGCUUUCGAUUCUGGAGAAGCUGCCACCCUUGAAGUCAAAAGUACCCUGUCAGCUUCCAAAGAUGCUGCCUCAUCAAAAGCCUUCUCCUCUUGUCCUACUACAAAUUGGAUUGAGAGCACCAAAGCCAUUGAGAACACAACCAAAAAAACCUUCACAAUCUUUUUUUAUUUUCUAAAAUGGUUAAGAAAAAAAAGUAAACAUAUAUUUUUAUUUAUGCUUAAGGUUGAAAAUGAGACGAAAUUUAAAGAGUUUAAAAUGAGAUAUUUUGGGCGAAUUUAGGGGUGGUUGACUAGUCUAGUGCCUAAUAACCAUACACGACAAAAAUACAUAUAACUGUUCUCCACAUUUUCAAUGGUCAUGUUUGUCACAAUUUUUGGUGGUUUAAAUUUACUUCUUUUUGUUUCACUCGAAUACGUUGUGGGUGAUCGUUUAAAUUUUUUUAUUUUAUAAUUUUCACAUAUUUUUUUCAUUUAUUUAAAAUUUCAACCAAACAAAUUUUCUCAAUUUUUUUUUCUACUUUUAGGAAAACAAAAAGAAAAAGAAAUCUUUAAUUUCUGAACCUAAAUAUACCCUAAACCUUUGCCUCCGACUCAUAAGAUAUUAAGAAUAAGGUAAUUAUUUGGUACACACCAAAUGUAAAUUUUUUAUUAAGUUGGGAUUUUGCCUCUUAUCAUAUAUAUAUAUAUAUAAUAUAAUUUUUUGAAUAUAAAUUAAAGAAGAAAUAAUAAAAUCUCAACUUGAUUUAUGAAAUAAAAGCCUUUCACCGUCCUACCGAACGAACAUUUCCCCUCGUUGUAUCACAAUAAUCAUUGUAAUCAUAAUGACAAUCAUAAUGACAAAAGAAAGAAAAAGCUGUGGGGUAUGAUAUUCACUACCCUCCAAUUAUGAGACUUAUAAUAGAGGGGAAUUAAGAAAAAAAAUUUUAGAGUCGAAAUUAAAUAGUAAUUUUUAUGGUAGUAAAAAUAUAAAUUUUAAAGGAUUAAAUUAAAAUUUUAUUGUUAAAAAAAAAGUUAAAGUGCAACUUUUCUUUUACUAAUUUAAAAUUUUAAAAUUUUUUAAAAAGUCUAAAAAAUAAAUGAUAAUAGAAUAAUUCUAAAAUCUUUGUCAUAUGCGCCAACUUGAGUUUUUGCGUCAAAUAUUUCGUGCUAUUUGUAUAUCCGCUCAUUUCUUGACACAUUACAUAAUAAUUAUAACUACUUAUAACAUGAUUAAAUUCCACGUUCUUAAAAGUAGAUUAACUACCUACGCGCCGCCGUCACCACAAAAUAUUUUAUAUUCGGUUUUGCAAUUGCUUUUAACUUCGGUCACAAACAAAAUUUUUUACUUACACAAACAAAAUUUUUUACUUAGUUAUUAAUAAUAAAAGUGGAUUAUUUUAUUAAAAAAUAAUUUAUAUUUUAUUUACGUUGUAUAAUAAUUAUAUCUACAUAAAAAAUAAUCGAUUAAAUUUCAAAUUACGUAAAAUUUAUUUCCAAAAUUAAUUAAUAUAAUUCAUAAAAAUACUUCGUAUUAUCAAUGUGUCAACUUAGUUUAAUGUCAAACUUAAAAAAAUGUAUAAUGUGAACAUGGCUAAAAAUUUUCUUUUUUAGAUAAAACCUUAAAAUAAUAUUUUACGGAUUUUUACUUAUAUAAUAUAAAAAAUUGAAAUUAAUAACUAAAAUAGCAUGCCCAUGAGAUUAUUUACCAAAAUGGUAUGUUUACUAUGGUGUUUUACUGGUGCCUCUUGUCAAAUUAGCAGUACCAAACUGAAAUGUAAUGAUCUAAAGUAUUUAGGGAUCGCAAAUUUUUCAUUUUGAGUGGUUGUUGGAGACAAAAGUGAAAUGGUGUCGAAUGUCAGUAGUGUUGUGGAACUAGACCUUAAAUGUGGCUAAUUUGCUUGCAAGCCCUCAUUAUUUGUUAUUUUCUUUUUAUUCCCUUUCAACUCACUACAUUGAGUUUAAACAAACCCUUAACUUAUUUUUGUAGUUAAAUAAGUCCUUAACUUGAUUUUUACUCAUAAAAUCCCUUUAUUUUAAUAUUAAAGUAAAUAUGUUAUACCCAUAUUAAAGGGCUUUUUAGUAUUUUAGCCCUGCUAGACUAUAUGUUGUUGAACCUGACACUUACAUUGCAGAAAUUGUUUGAUUAUUUUCAAUGCAUAAGAACCAAUGAAAACAUAGAUGGAAUGCUAAUAUACUAAAAAAUGUUUAAACAAGCUUUUAUACUGUUUUUGUAGUUAAAUAGGCCCUCAAAUUAUGAUUUUUACCCAUAAAAGUCCUAAAUUUUAAUAUUAAAGUAAAACUAUUUAAAAAAUAUAUAAACUAAUUCGUAUUUUAUGUUGAUAUGAAUUUGAUGAGAAUAGUUUAUUAAAUAAAAAAUAAAAAAUUAAAAUUUGUUUAGAGUGCUUAUAUACAUGACAUGCUUAAUUACUAUUCUGAAAUUUCUGAUUACUUUUUUAGAUUUUAUGUUUAUGUUAAAUUGUAUAUAAUUUUUAUUGCAUCAACAAGAAAUUAAGAUAAGAGCUUGAAAUUCAAAAUAUAUUUACUUUAAUAUUAAAAUAAAGAGCUUUUAUGAGUAAAACCUAUUGGUUAAGAGCUUAUUUAACUACAAAAAAAAGUUAAGGGCUUGUUUAAAUACGAUAUAAUGAGUUGAAGGGGAAUAAAAAGAAAAUAAUAUAUAAUGAUGGUUUACAAGGCAAUUAGCCACAUUUAAGCAGCACCAUUUCACUUCUUUUUCCGGUAGUCACUUAAAAUGGGAAUUUGCACUUCAAAUCCCUAAAUACUUUAAAUUAUUACAUUUCAGUCUGAUACCACCUGACACCAACAAAACAGUACAAUAACAGACAUACCAUUUUGAUGUAUAUAUAUUCGGUUUUGCUAUUGUUUUUAACUUCGGCUUUUAAUUUGUCACAAAAUUUUUGGAUAAUUUUUUUAAAAAAUUAAUUAUAUUUUAAUUUAACAUAUAGAAAUUAAUGAGUCCCUACAACAAGAAUGUGUGUGAUGACAACGUGAUGACUGUUUCUCCACGAAUUAGGAAUCUUCAAAUUCGUCAGGCCAAACGUCACCCUUUCAGUGCUUCUCAUCAUUUAUAAAAACACUUCGAUUUCCUUUCUUAGUUACUCCAAAUCCGAUGUUAGUAAAAAAAGACCAGGUGAACUACCUACGCGCCGCCGUCACCACCAUGUCACAGCCUCAUUUCCUCCUAGUGACCUUCCCUGCACAAGGCCACAUAAACCCAACCUUACAAUUUUCCAAGCAUCUUAUACGUAUUGGCGUACGUGUAACUUUCAUCACCUGCAUCUCCGCUCGCCGCCGCAUGAGCAAAGUCCACACUGCUCAAGGCCUAACGUUUUUACCCUUUUCCCAUGGCUACAACGACGGUUUUCAACCCGGCGAUGACAUAGACCAUUACCUAUCUGAAUUCAGGCGACGAGGCAAAGAAGCCAUCUCCGAGUUUAUAACAAGCAGUGAAAACGAAGGCAAACCCGUCACUUGCAUUGUCUACACCCUGUUCAUCCAUUGGGCCUCGGAGGUGGCGCAUAAACAUCACAUCCCGACAGCUUUACUUUGGAUUCAACCCGCCACCGUUUUCGACAUCUAUUAUUUUUACUUCAACGGAUACGAAACUACCUUUAAAGCUCAAUCUGAUGAAGCAAACCCCCAGCGUUCAAUAAAAUUACCAGGUCGGCCGCUACUCGCCACCCGCGACCUUCCGUCGUUCCUAACCGCUUUAAACGUUUACCGUUGGGCACUGUCGUUGUUCCAAGAACAAAUGGACGUCCUUGCCAAUGAAUCCAACCCUAAAAUCCUUGUUAACACAUUCGAUGCUUUGGAACACGAAGCAUUAAACGCCAUUGGAAAUUUCAACAUGCUCUGCAUCGGACCUUUAAUCCCAUUUCCUUUCUUGAACUCAAAUGACUCAUUGGAUAAUUCCUUGAGAACCGAUCUUUUUCAAUCCGAUUCAAAAGAUUACCUCCAAUGGUUAGACUCGAAACCAAAAUCGGCCGUCGUUUACGUUUCCUUCGGGAGCAUUGCGGUGUUAACGAAGCAACAAGUGGAGGAAAUCGCUCGAGCUUUAAUAUCCAGCCGGCGACCGUUUUUAUGGGUGGUGAGGAAC
rnacentral:lncRNA from 1 species